CUUGCAAAAGUCCGGUGAUAUUCAUAUUUGCCUCUGUGAUUUGUUAUCGUUAGAGCAUUAUUUUAUUUUUUAACAGAAGAUAAUUAAAAUGAUAUUUUUGCCAUAACAAAUAUGUCCUUUCAAAAGCCCCAACUAUUAGAAUUAUACAGAAAUAUCCUCUCAAAAAUUUUCGACGGUCAUCUUUUUUUUUCCACCAUAAAAAAAAUAUAUAAGAGAGGCAAAAAUAUCAAUUUACCUAAUUUACUAAUCAGAGUUAAAUAUUUUAUCUAUGGUUAAUUAUAUUUUUCUAGUAGAUCCUAAAAUAAGGGGUAUAUUUGAAAAUAUUAGAAAUUUUAUAGGAAUUAAUAUAAAAUAUUAAACUUUGUAGGGAUAUAUCUGCUAUUCGAUAUGUUUACCGGGAGCUGUAUGCAAUUAAGCCAUAAAAUAAGAAAUUAAUUGCAUACAGGUCUCUUUCAAUAUAGUGAAUUGUAAAUAUAUUCCUAUAAAGUUCAACUUUUAUAUGUUAUCCCUACAAAAGUUCUGAUAUUUUCAAACAUGUUCAUAUAGUAAGAAUCCGUUAGAAUAAUUUAUCAACAAUAAGCUAAAUACUUAACCUUAAUUAGUUAAUAAGGUGAAUUGACCUUUUUACCCCUCUCCACUUAACAGUUGGGAUUUUUGGAGGGACAUAUUUGUGAUGACAAAAAUAUCAUUUCAUUUAUAAAAUAGACAGUGUUUUAACGAUAAUAAACCAGAGGGACAUAUUUGAAAAUAUUAAAACUUUUCUAUGGACAAUUUAUGAAAGUUGAACUUUGUAGAGAUAUUUUUGCAAUUCACUAUAUUUGCAGUGACCUGUAUGAAAUUAACCCUAAAAUAAAUAGAGAAACGCUUCAAUACACCAUAAAUAUUAAAAUCUAAUUCUUAAUUAGUAAAGGGUAUAAUUGAGUUUUACAUGAAAUAACUUGUUGAAUAGGUUAUCGAUUUGAAUUAGUUAAUAUGACAAUAUUGGAAAAAAAAUUAGUAGNAGUAUAUACCAAAUUUGUCAGCAUCCUAUAAAUAUUAAAUAUCUUAUUUACUUUGGUAACUUACCAAAUUAGCAACUUACCAAAUUAGAUAAUACUCAAUUUGUUAAGUAUCCGGCUCAAAAAAAUAUUAAAUUUAAAUUUAAUUUUUGAAGUUGGUAUUGUAAUGUAAAAUUUUAAAAUUUAAAUUUAUAUUAAACUUUUAAAUUUGAAUCUAAAUUGAACUUUUAAUCUUAAAGCCAAAUUUUAAUUUUUGAUUUAAAUUAAAUUUUGAAUUGGAACUGAAAGUUUUAUUUUAAAUUUGUAUUUUAUAUUUUAAAAAAAUUGAAUUUGAUUUAUAAUUAAGUUUUAAAUGUUGUUUUGAAUUUAAAUUUAUAAUUUGGUUGUAAUUUGAAAUCCAACUAUUGUUGUAGGUAUUUNGCCUUAAAAUUUGUGGAAAAAUUAUGAAAUUUUGUUUCCAUGUACUAUAAUGGUUGCAGGAGCUCAACUUGAUUGCGCAGAAAUUUAAGGGUGAGUUUGAAAUAGCACUAAAGGAGGAGGAAGAAGCAAGUCGACCUGAAUCAUCGACAACUGCUUCAAAUUCUUUGGAAAAUGUUACUCUGGAGAUAGAAUCUUCGAGAAUUACAAAGUUAAAAGACUUAGAGGAAAGAAAGAAAGAGUUGGUACGCUGCUUCCUUUAAUUUAUUAUUAAAAGAAGGUGGCAGGUUUGACUAAAAUUAUAAUUAUUUUUGUCAGAGAUUACUGGAAGAGGCGGUGCAGAGGUUGGAGAUUGAGUGGUCAUUGGUUCAACAGGAGUCGGCAAAGAAACCUUCACCAGGUAUUUUGUGACUGAGUUGCUUUUCACUCUAUUCUACAAUCUUUUAUACUUUGUGGUUGCUAAAAUCCUGUAAACCCCGAUAUAUAAGUUUUGAGAUUUCAUGCUGCUCCACCCAGAAAUUAUGAAAAAUGCAUUUUAUGAUAACCUUGUUGGCCUAUAAGCAAAGUAUGGACUGGUAUUUGUAGUUGAAAGGGGUGGUAUUUAGGUCCUUAGUAAUUUAGGAGGCUUAGUAGAAAUUGGAUUAUUUAUAGGAACUUUCUGCACUUUAGCCUCUUUUGGUUGCCCAAUGCAAGGAUUUAAGGGUGCGUUUGGUUCGCGCUAUCUUUUAAAGAUUCCUAGUAAUCCAAUGGGAAUAAAAAAAUAUGACGGUGUUUGGCUAAACGCACUAAGUAAUCUAGUUGGUAAUAUUGGAUUCACUUGGGAAUAAGAUUCACCCCAAAGUACUAAUCUUAUUCCCUUGAGGGAUGGUGGAUAUCCUCAUAUUAAUGGAUUUGAGUAAUCAUAAUAUAUCUAAUCUCUUUCUUUCUUCCUACCCGCCGGCUAAUUGAUAUUAGUUGUCUUUACACUCUAACCUUAUAUCUCUCUCUAAACUUUUUUUUCUCUCUCUAAACUAAGCUUUCUCUCUCUCUCUCUCUCUCUCUCUCUUUUUCUAAAAUUUCAACUCUCUCACUCCCUCUAAUUUUGACUAUAUUUUUCUUUCUAUUUUUUUAAUUAUGCUCUCUCUCUCUAAUUUAUACUCGCUCCCCCUUUUUUCUAAAAAGAUGUUGAAACUUUUGGUAACAUUAUCUAAAAUUAAAUAAAUAAAUAAAUAAAUAAAUAAAUUGUAUAUUUGUUGUAGUAUUUAAAAAUGUCACAGUAUUCUUAGUUGGAUAAAACUAGAUUUUCUAGAUUAAAUAUAUUAAUAAAUAAAUAAAAUAACCUUUUGAAUAUUAAAUACAUGGUGAAUGGUAUCAUGAUGCGAACCAAACGCAUCCUUAAAUUUAUAUUAAAUCUAAACCAUCUAUUAAGAAAAAUAAAUAGUGGAGAUUUAUAUGGUGUAUUGAAGUAUUACUCAAAUAAAUAUAAUAAUAUCUUUUCAAUAAAUAAAUAAAUAAAUAAAUAAAAAGGUUAGGGCGCCAUUUGAAAGUUGAGUAUAGUUGAUGGGUCUCCGUGCAAAUUGUACCCAAGCACGACUCGUAAGUCGUAAACAAGUACACCAAAUCUAAAACCCCCCGUUACUACGAUUAGGGUGUCAUUGUGUCAACGAGCCGAACACGAGUGAGCUUGGGCGGGCUCGUGUUCGGCUCGUUUAAUAACGAGCCAAACAUGAGCCGGUUCAUUAAAGUAUCGAGCCGAAAAAUUCAACUUGUGUUCAGCUCGUUAAUAAACGAGCCGAACACGAGCUGGCUUACGAGCUGGCCAACGAGCAGUAAACUAAAUGGAUUAAAUUGGAUAUAUAUAAAAAACUAAAUUUAUAAAAUCUUACUGAUUAAAUUUUUAUUUAAUAGUUAAAAUUUUACAUAUAAAUAAGUCUUUUUAUAAUUAAGCUCUGCUUUAUAUUUUUUUUGUUAAAAAUCAAAUAAUAAAAAUAAACAUAUUAUAUAUAUAAUUAUUUAUUUAUAUAUAUAAAUAAAAAAUAUAUGUAUUCGAAUUAUUAUCAAGCUCAAAAAUUCAACUCGUAUUUGAUCUGGAGCUCAUUUCAAGCCGAACACGAACGGGCUCAGGAACAGCGAGCUUGAUUGCCACCCGAUCAUCUCUCUGCGACUACUGACGCUUUUCCACAACGCUCUCCCAAUUCCCACCCCCGCACUUUCCCGAUCCAAAANCACAUUCUUAGUAAUAGGAUGAAUAGAAAUAAGAUUCUCGGAUAUCUUUUAUUCCUAGUAAUCUUUCAUAAUGCGAACCAAACGCAUCCUUAAAUUUAUAUUAAAUCUAAACCAUCUAUUAAGAAAAAUAAAUAGUGGAGAUUUAUAUGGUGUACUGAAGUAUUACUCAAAUAAAUAUAAUAAUAUCUUUUCAUUAAAUAAAUAAAUAAAUAAAUAAAAAGGUUAGGGCGCCAUUUGAAAGUUGAGUAUAGUUGAUGGGUCUCCGUGCAAAUUGUACCCAAGCGCGACUCGUAAGUCGUAACAAGUACACCAAAUCUAAAACCCCCCGGUACUACGAUUAGGGGUGUCAACGAGCCGAACACGGGCGAGCUUGGGCCGGCUCGUGUUUGGCUCGUUUAAUAACGAGCGAAACNGAAACUUUAUAUAUAAAUGAGUUUUUUUUAUAAUUAAGCUUGACUUUAUAUUUUUAUUUUCCUAAAAAUAAAAUAAUAAAAAUAAAUAUAUUAUAUAUAUAAUUAUUUAUUUAUAUAUAUAAAUACAAAAUAUAUGUAUUCGAGCUGGUUAUUCAGCUCAAAAAUUCAACUCGUAUUCGAUCUUGAGCUCGUUUCAAGCCGAAUACGAACCGGCUCGGGAACAGCGAGCUGGAUUGCCACCCCUAACUACGAUCAUCUCUCUGCGACUACUAACGCUUUUCCACAACGCUCUCCCAAUUCCCACCCCCGCUCUUUCCCGAUCCAAAACCCCCCUCGAUCCUCGUCUUAAAACCCUCGUCUCUCGAUCGAUCGCUCUCCUCCCCCUUCGCCGCCGCCUCUGAUCCAGCUCGAUCGGCUCCCGCGGCGUAGUUUGUGAUCGAUCCCUGCUUCGUUUCUCGCGAUUUUUGAUCCGUAUUUGGGAAGUACGCGAGGAACCCUAGCCUGGAUCGGUGUUAUGAGAUCGCGAGACGUGGUGAGAAGAGGUAGUGGGAACGAUGGGGCACAGCUCGAAGAAGAAGAAGAAGAGUAAGGGUGGAAGGGGCCGAGGGAGGGCUCCGUCGAAGGAUCACGCGUCGCAGUUGGACGACGAUCAGGAUGCCCUAAAUGAGGAGCUAACCGCGUUGUAAGCUUCUAAAUUUGUUGUCAUUUUAUGAUUUAUGAUGCAUUUGUCCUCGAUUACUUACAGGAAUUGAUGCUCAUCAGGGGGGUAAAAAUGUUAAUUUAUUUGUAUUGUGAUAUCUAAGAAACGGGAAUGAAGCAAGGACAGUUAUUUCUGUUUAAGUAUUUGUGAAUUUUCUGGUAUAUGAGUGGUCUUUCCAUUAAUCAAAGGCCUGAUUCCCCUGCUUUUGCUUCUGCUUCUGCUUUCAGCAGCAGCCUCUAGUAAGUGUUUGCAGCAGGAAGUAGAAAGGAGAUUCUGAUGCUCAAAAGCAGAAUUUGCAGAAAGAAGCUGUCGGGGUGGGCUAAUAGCACUACUUGUACGACAGUGUACCCUAUAGCAGCCCAACACGUCCUAACUCUUUAUCUGUUUAUUCAUGGUUCAUUGAGGGUGUGGAAACGAGACGAGUACUACUCGUGGAGUUGUUUGAUAGAAUUUAUUCAGGUGAAGUUUGGUUGGCGGAAAGUGAAGCGCUGAACUUAGUACUAUUAGAAAGUGGCGUCUUUUCGGUUGUUUGGUUUAUGAAAGUGAAUAUAAAAAAAAUUAGUUUACAAAUGUGGAUUGGUGGGGUGAGUUGUAACUCAACUCUUUUGACUUCGGCUCAAAAAAUUCUGACGUCAUUGGAAAGCCUCAAAAUGGUACCAAAAGAUUCAACCUUGGCCUCGUAACCUGCUUUUAAAGUUUCCAAGCCUAUUUGAAGAUCCUAUGAUGUGAAGCCUAUUACUAAAACCUGCCAUGUCACUCUGCUAUUUGAAAUAUAUUUAUCACUAAAAGCCUUUUUGAAUGUUCGUAGCAGUUAUCUUGUGAUAGCUCAUAUCAGAUGGAGCUUCUUUUAAAGUUAUAUCUAAGGUGAUUGACUUUUAGUGAUUGUUAACCCUAAUAAUUCCUAUUUUUUAGGACAUUAUAUUCCGAUUUACUUUAUUCUGGAACAACUGGGAUAACUUAAUUAUUCUAACAUGUAAAUUGUCCUCAUCAAUGAAUUAUCACGCCUCUUAAGUGUCAGGAGAAAGCAGGGGAUCAUUCCUCCUUGUCUUUGGCCAUUGACUGCAGUUUUUUCAGUUUUUGUUAUCCUUUCAUGAUGUGUUAUUUCCCCUGCUCUUUUGUGAUUGGUUUCUUGUUAUAAUAAAUCUGAAGUCUCUAGAGGUCUGCAUCUGCCAAUUUUAACAUCUUAUUUGGUUAGUGUUUAAUACAGGAAUUAUUUACUGCACUUUAAUCCUCAUUUAUUGGCUAACAGAUAUAUUAUNAUCCUUUCAUGAUGUGUUAUUUCCCCUGCUCUUUUGUGAUUGGUUUCUUGUUAUAAUAAAUCUGAAGUCUCUAGAGGUCUGCAUCUGCCAAUUUUAACAUCUUAGUGAAAUAGUGUUUAAUACAGGAAUUAUUUACUGCACUUUAAUCCUCAUUUAUUGGCUAACAGAUAUAUUAUGUUUGAAAUGAGUUCCAGGCAUACUUUCUUAUGACAGUUAUGCGAAAAUAUUACCUUCUUCUCUCUUAAAUUGAAGGUCCAUUGACUGUUAUUUCUCACUAUUUCACCCAUACAUCAGAGAAGACAUUGUUUUAUUUUUCAAUAGUGUUGCAUAUCUUUUUAAUCAUUCGCAAGUCAUUUUCUGGUCUUUAAACUGCUUUUCCUUACUUGUUUUAGGGCUGCAAUAUUUCAAGAGGACUUCAAAAUUGUUUCAGAACUACCUCACGUGCAAUUUGAAAUAAAGCUCAGGUACAUUGUGUAAUAGGUUUACUAAUUCACUUCUUUAUAUAUUUUAAUUUGCUCAUCUUGUUGGAGAUAAUCUUCCCUUCAUUUCAUGAGAUUCUUGACAUGACAAUGAGCGCAGGCCUUACUCUGAUGACACUGGUUUCGAUGAUCUUAAUGUUUCGGCUCUUCUUCAUGUUAGGCAAGUGUCAUAUUUCAAAGUUACUUUCUGAUAGUUGUUGCUUUCAUGUUCUAUUGACACUUUCUUGAGUCACAUCAGAUGCUUACCUGGGUAUCCUCAUAAGUGUCCAAAGUUGCAAAUAGUGCCAGAAAAAGGCUUAUCCGAGAAGGAUGCUGAUCAGCUACUAGCUCUUCUUGUCGACCAGGUUAGAGGGAUUUGUUGUUUACAAGUUACCAUUAUUUAUCAGGUGAAGUUAACUACUAAAUUAUCUUCAGCCAUCUUCAAAAAGAUCAAUGACAGUUUCACAUUUUUUUUAACUGCCUCCCAUAAUGUGAACAGAACUGUGUCUGAGUUAAACCUUACAUUAUAUUAUUGUCUUCCUCUCUGUUUGAGUUAUUCUUGUCCUCUUUCCAAGUUUUGAUUUUGUUCAUGGGUUCUGUUUCCAUAUAUAAAAAAAUUUGGUUCUUUUCCUUUCUUGUUUCUCUACCUUGCACCUUUCUUUCUUGAGCUCAAGUCAUGGUUCAAACUUUAAAUUUGAACAACUCUGGCUCAUUACUUGUCUUAAUCGGCAAUUUUCUAUGAAGGAAAAAUGUUCGAGAACCUUCUAAGUUUUUUUAAUACUCACAUAAUGAUACUGAAACCUAGAUUUUUAAUGAUCAAGAUUAUGAGACAUAACUACACGUCGUCCUAGUAUUUACAUAUGAUGCAAAAUUGUUGUGUAUGAGAAUUUAUGAUUCAUCUUGUUGGUGCUAGUUAACCAUACAAUUAAGCUAGUAAAAGAUCUUGCCAUUUAAAGUUUGCUGGUGUUUGAAGAUGAAAAAUGAUCUCCCAAUAAUAUCUGAGUAUUAUCCUGAAUUGUAACUACCAUGCUCAAUAUAAAUAAUGCUUCAAACAAGUAUUCAAUCAAAUGCCCCUCAAUCUCAACUUGCUGCCAGGGAAGUACAAAAUAGUUGAGAUUGAGUGACUAAACUAGUAAGAUCAGAGAAUAGAGGAAAAUAUCUCCUAUUUCUCAUACUGUAACUUUAUUUGUUGAACGAUCUUCAUUCCUCCUAUUAAUCCUUCAAACAAGUAUUUAAUCAAAUGCCCCGCAAUCUCAACUUGCUGCCAGGGAAGUACAAAAGAGUUGAGAUUGAGUGACUAAACUAGUAAGAUCAGAGAAUAGAGGAAAAUAUCUCCUAUUUCUCAUACUGUAACUUUAUACGUUGAAUGAUCUUCAUUGCUUCUAUAUCCUAACUUCAGUGAUGGGCUUCCCCUUUGGGCGUCACGCCCUUUCUCCAAUUAGGAGCUAGCAAUUGUGAGGAUCUUAUACCAAGAAUGAUUACAUGCUUUCCAGCUUUAGUUCCUAGCCUUCAUCUUUUACUGCAGGGCUACAUGGAUGCUAAGUUGAUAAUUAUAUUUUUGGUGGCCGUAAAAAAUCUUACAACUUGAAUUUCUGAAACAAUGGAAGUUCGUGCCUUUUGUGUUCCUCAUUUGUUUUAAGCAUUGUCAUUUGUCGCACCGGUGUGUUUGUUUCACCGAAUAUGGAGAGGGGUGAAGUUGUUUUCGGCUAUAAAUGCCCACUUUCAUUGUUUGGUUUAUCGUAAUUUCACCUUCAGUCGAAACUCAAACUCCCCAAAAUACUGUAAUUAACUUCGGCCCACCAUGGGCCAAAGUCAUUUGCUAGAAAAAGAGUAAGGAAAAAAAAAAUAUUAACAAUGGAUAACUUCAGCUUUUACAUUAUUCACUUCCAAACAAACAAAUAACAAAACUGAGGGAACUACAGUUCCACAGCUAUAAAAACAAACUUGGAAGAGAAGUAAUUUUCACUUGAACUCUAGUUCACCUGAAAGUUUACUUCGACCUGGACUUCGCCUUUGGGGAAACAAACAGACCCUACACGUAUGUGCUGUUUGAAAUUUACUUUAAUGUGUUCAAGAUGCUUCGUUCUCUGAUUAAUUUUGUCUAGGCAAACAUUAAUGCGCGAGAAGGACGUGUGAUGAUAUUCAAUUUGGUAGAGGCUGCUCAAGAAUUUCUAUCUGAAAUUGUGCCGAAAGUCAACAAGCUGAAAUCUGUAAGUUGGCUUUUUUUUUAAUUUUUUCUUUUCAUGUGCCACAUUACUGCUUAUGUAUUUGAUUUCAUAAGGGCCCAUGUUUGUCCUUUGUCUCUUGAUGCUUUUCAUGUUAUUAGUUGGAGUUACUUUUAAAGGCUUAAUCAUGUCUUUUUAGUGCUUUUCAGGUUUGAUACUUUUCCCUUUUGAUUUAUUCUUUGCUAUGUUGUUCUAGAGUAAAUAUAAUGCAGAAAUUAAUUAGCUAGUCGCCUAGUCCGGUAUUAGUUUUGAGUUAGCAUAAUUUUGUGGGUAAUAUGCACAUUGGUCAACAUUUUAGUGCCAAAUUUUAAUUCCUUAGUCUAGGUUAGACACCUUAGUCUAGGUUAGACCAGUAGGCCGUUCAAAAUCAAACUAGUCUGCUAGAUGCAAACUUGGCCUAACUCAAACCCAAAUAAGACCCACUCAGUCUGGCUUCUCUUGGUUGGGUUGCAUCCACAGCUGUUAUUACCUUAGUGGACAAGCAUUGUGGCACGUCUUUGAGUGCCAAUCAAAUGUUAAAUUAAGAUGGAAAACAUUUUAAGCUUAUUUACACAUCACACCGCUAUACACUAACUGAUGGGAUGUAUUGAGUUUAUUAUGGUCUGUUCAAGAAUCUGAAAGAUCAGGACAAACUAGCCUUUUUAUGCCUGAGCUGUUUGUGCACUUUCUUUAAUGAACUAUGGAGGUCUCACGAGUUGUAGAAUGCUAGGUCAGGGAAGCUAAGAUCAUUCCGCCUUAGGAUCAUCUAAAUUUAUCAUCUUCUUUUUCUCCUUUCCACUUCCCAAUUUUUUCUUAUGAACGUGCUCGUUCUUGUCCAUGGUUAGUAUACUUGUUCUAAUUUUCUUGCUUUUCUAUUAUUCUUUUAUCCUGCCUGGUAGUAAAUUUCAUUUUUCCACGAACUACUACUGUUUUUUCAUUACGUAACUAUUUGAUAACUUUGUAGCUUUCUUGAUGGACUGAGGUACUGCUUCAAUUAUCAAGUGCCUAAUAUAUGCAGGUACUUCAUUUGGUUCAAAACAAGGAUCAAUCAUUUGAUGGUGAUCUAAAUGCUAGACUUGAGAAGGGUUCCCAUCCUGAGAUUCCAUGUGUUACUAGCUCAAUCGAUCUCUAUGGUGACUUCUUUGGCGAUACCACAGGUUGGGGCAGCCACGGUGCAAAAGUAGCAAAUGGGAGCUCUAAUAAAGUUUCUGAGCCACAAAGUCGACCAAUUGAUAAAAGCAAGGCGAAGAACAUCAUAUUGCAAUCCCAAAUUUCAACUGCUGCUCAGAAUAUUGCUAAAGAGAGACGCUUCCAAAAUGUGCUAGCUGAAGUGUUGCCUGGUGCGAAGUAUGGUGUUACACCCGAAGCUGAGACACAAUUAAAUGCGGUUGAGGAGGAAACUGAGAGUGCCGGCAAAUUAGCUUCUAUCAAUGAUCAAGAUUCAAUUGCUGAUACGUCGGAGAAGAGUUAUGACAGUGCACAAUAUCAGCUUGAGGUAAGAGAGGAAGUACUUUUUGUUUCAUCAGUAUUUUAUUUUUCUUACCUGUUCAACGAACAAUGGCCUUCAACUAUUUGGAAACUCUUUCAUUGGUUACAGCUUUUUUUGGGGUUGUGGGUAGAUUGUGUUUUGUGCAGUGAGAAAGUACGAUGGGAAACUAUCCCAUUUGUUUCCAUAUGUAGUAUGACGUUGCAUAUAUCGCAAUGAAUCGGUUGCGAUAUAUUUUCUACGAUUCCACCAGAAGACGGAGUAGCAUAUCCCUAUAUUCUUUCAUCCCAACUCUGUUUUGCCUAAUAGUGUUAGAUGAUACCCAAUACCAAGUGGGUCCUACAUGGUUAUGGUAACAACAAGUCCAAAGCCUUAUUUAUCAUGUUGUUGUAGAACUCAGUGAACGCAAUUGCGUUAAGCCGUUGUUGGGUCAAAUCGCAUACUACUCAUUUGAGUCUAAGUAUUACUGUAGAUUCAAUCAGUAAGUGGGUCAAAUAGCCACUUGUGUCGUUUCAAAAUGUCAUUUCUAUAUUUUUAUUUACCUGACUUUCUACUUAUCAUCUUAUUUGAUUUAUUUGUUAUUUUUAUAAACUUCCCUAUAACUCAUACAUUAUAACACCCAUGUACCGACCUUCUGCAUAUGCUGUCCAAGUUCCUUACAAUAUGUAAGCUACUUACAUAUCAUCUUAUUUACAUUUGAUGCAGAAGAAAGCUACAGUUCCUGUUUUUCAUAUUUGUGGUAAUAUUUUUACUAGCAUGUAAAAGUUUCACGCUUUGAAUGUUAUAAUAUAGAGUCAUCUCUUUACAACCAUUCAGGAGCAGGAUAAAUGAGAGAUGUAACCUUCUUUUUUCUGCAUUAUUUUGUUUAGUUAAAUAGAAAUUGUUAAUCUGGAAUGUUCCUUUGUACAUUUUCCGUUGCCCUAACAUUGCCCUGUUUGGCUUAUGGAUUUUUCUUAUAGAACACCUGAAGGCAUAACUUGGAACCUAUUAUCCUGAAUCUGCACAAUCAUAGAAUUUGGAAGCUGGCACAUACGUCCUUUCUUGUGCAGCUUAAGCUGAAAUACAUUAAGAAAAAUAGAUCACUAUUUCUUCUAAUGUUGAUGAGUGGCUGAUGUUCGAUUAUAUGCAGAAUAAUCUUUAAUUAUAUGCAGAAUAUGCAUGGCAUAAUUUAUUUUCUCUUGUAGGACACUGACAUUGAGGAACAAGUAUGGAAAGCUGAUGGCUCUGUUUCAGAUAAUGGCUCUUCAAUGUCAUCUUUUGCAUCAGUGGCAUGUGAUGAUGCAUCUCUGAACAAGAAAAAAGAUCUUCUUUUGGUAUGAACAUUUGCUUAUGACAUAUAUAUAUAUAUAUAUAUAAUUUCAAUGGAGCUUUUCAUUGCAAUCAAGUAUUUUACCUUCUGAAUUAGGUACACUUACUCCGUCUUGCUUGCUCCAAAGGAUCAUAUUCUAAUUCUCUGCCAGAAAUAUCCUCAGAGUUAUGCAAAUUUGGGGUAUGUUCUGGAAUUUUUAUGUUAUCUUUAUUUGCUUUCGCUUCUAUAUUGAUCAUUGCAGUAAAUUCUGCUUAACUUGAUCAUAAUACAGAUGCUUUCAGGAUGGGCUAGAGAUUUAGUUGCUGCACCUUCUUCCAACUUUGAUAAAGCUUUUGAUCAUGCUUUUGAACAGCAUUUGGUUUGUCUCUGGAUUGAUAUAUGUACUUCUCUUCUUUCAACUAUGAACACUUCUCUGGUUAACUUGUCUGCCCUUUCCUUAUUUGAUUCUGCUGUAUAGAUCUCUUCACAGUUCUCUCAAUUUUGGAAAGGAGAUAGUAGUCUUACUGGUGAUGUUGCUUCAUCUAGAUCAAAUUCUCGUUAUCUAAAUGACUUUGAGGAAGUCCGCCCAUUGGGUAAGGAGUUCACUUAUGAGUUUCAUUACUUAUUUUGAUGGUACUAUCUGAUGCUUUCGAGUACUAUACCUGAAGGGUUGUGGCUAGUCAACAACUGAGUUGCUUACAUAACUUUCAAUCUACAAAUCAGUUGAACUAUAGUUGAUCAGACAAUUCUAAAUAACUAUAAGAGGCAAUUUUCGAGGCAAAAGCUGAUAAUAUAGGACAAAGAUCAUAGAUUCAAACAUUUGUCUAAGGCCUUUCGAAAUCUCGAAACACUUUAGAAAUUUUAUGUAAUGCAAAAUAAAUAACGAUACCAGGGUCUGAUAUCAUCAUUUUGCUGCCUUAGUGAAUGAAAAUUCAUUGAAAAUCGUCUUGGAUUUUUUAUAAAACAGGCCAAAGAAGAAUUAAUCUACUUCUCUGGAGGAGCUGUAUGUGGUUAGAGAAAGAUAUUAAGAUUGAUGUGAUUUGGAUGUUUAGGGGGGAAAUAUAAGGAGAGCGCGAUUUUGUUAUUGAUGUUUGAGGAAUGGUGUUCGGUUUGUUUCUUUAAAGACUUCUUGUGCAAUUCCUCAGCUACCCUUUUUGUGAGUUAAAUUCCUCCAAUCACCUGCGAUAGAGAAUUGCCCAUGCAUGGCUAGAGUGCUUUAUAUAUAUAUAUAUAUAUAUAUAUAUAUAUAUAUAUAUGUAUAUAUAAUGCUCUUUGACUAAAGAUGCUUUUCACGAAGGGGAUUCUUGAAAAAAAAUAGUAAGAGAAAGCAAAACACAGAAGAAUGGAAGAAUAGUGGGAAAUAUCACCGAUAUGUUCCGUUAAAUUAUACCAAACAUGUUGGUUCAUAUGACAUGUCAUUUCAGCCUUGAUAGUGUUAUGUGAAAAGAUCGUAGUUGAUCUUUGAGCGAAAUCAUAUUAUUUCAGUGUUAAACUUCCAGACGCUUUUUGUUGUUUGAGGAUUGGAGUACCAUUGAAGUUUAAGCUGUAGGAUGAUGGUUUAACUUCAGAUGUGUCUGUAAUGCUUCUUUUGGUAGGACAUGGGGGAUUUGGCCGUGUUGCAUUAUGCAAGAAUAAGCUAGAUGGACGACAAUAUGCUGUAAAAAAGAUUCGUCUCAAGGAUAGAAGCCCUCUUAAUGAGAAGAUUUUGAGGUCUUAUAUUUUUGCCUCAUUAUUGCUCUUUAAUUGAUUUUUCUAUUUGUGUAUCUUCGGCCUGGGCAACUGAACAGCUUCUUCUUUAUAUAUUGUUAAUGAAUGUUUUUCAAUCUUUCUCUUUAUUCACACAGUAAAGAAUCUUGUUUCAAAGACUAGCCUUGGUUUGGCAACUUCUCUUGUGAGAAGCAUUUUGUAUGUACACCUUGAGCACAAAUUUGCAAGAAAAUGAUACUGUGCAGGAUCUUGCACCGUAAUGGCACUUGGUGCAAGCUAGUGAUACUACUGUGAUAUCGUUUAACUUUAAAAAAUUAGAUAUUUGCUGUUAGACCUGCUAAAUUUUCCCAUUUGUCGAGUACAAGGACUAUUUUGUUUUUUUAUUUUAUUAUAUUUGUUUAGGAUUAAACUAGUAAGCUUCAACUUGGUUAGUAAAAGAUGUUUAUAUCUGUCAUAGCAAAAAUAUAUAUGGGAAAACUUCAAAUACCUCCCCUGUGGUUUCGCACUUUUUCACUUUAGAACCAUGUGGUUUAAAGUGUAUCAAUUUAGUACCCUGUGGUUUCGCACUUUCUCACUUUAAUACCCUGUGGUUUAAAGUGCAUCAAUUUAGUACCCUAUAGUUUCAUUUUUCUCUUUUUGUCGGCUCUUCUGUUAAUAUUUCGUUAAAUUAUAUACAAAAACUUCAGAUACCCUAUCUAGGUUUAUCGAAUAUUUACUUUAGUACCCUUUAGUUUUAACUUUGUCACUGAUUUUUUUUUCCUCCGUUAAUAUUUCGUUAAAUUAUAUACAAAAAACUUCAUAUACCCUACCUAGGUUUAUUGAAUAUUCACUUUAGUACCCUUUAAUUUUAACUUUGUCACUGAUUUAACGAAAAAAAUUAUGAAAUGGAUAAUAAAAAGAGAAAAAUGAAACCAUAUGGUACUAACUUGAUACACUUUAAACCACAGUGUACUAAAGUGAGAAAGUGCGAAACCACAGGGGCUAACUUGAUACACUUUAAACCGCAGGGUACUAAAGUGAGAAAGUGUGAAACCACAGGGGGGGUAUUUGAAGUUUACCCAAUAUAUAUUAUUGAGUGAAUUAAGGUAGCUAAAUUACCAAUUUCACAUUUAUGAUGUUGAAUAUAUGGACCGAUACCAGGUGGAGAAGACCACACGUUGGAAUUUUAUCAAAAUUUCUUAGCUAGGAGUUUCCAUGACAUAUUGAUCAAAUCUUCUGUUGGGAGAUCAUAUCAAUCAAAUCAAUAGCAUUGAAAUGGUGAAGUUAUAAAUACAUUGACGGAAUUAAUAUAAUAAUUUAAGUUAGUGUCGCUAAGUAAACCCUGUUAUACAAGAUCUUAUCUAUUCAAUUCGGGAUUUUCAUGGAUUUAGUUGCUUGUGGGUUUUGCCCUUCAUAUGUUCAUAUAUGGCAACUGUGACAUUUCUCAAUUACUUCAGAAAUUCUAAUAAUUUCUUAUUCUUGUGAAGUAGUGCUAUUAUUGUGUUGUCUUGAACUGCAGUUGCCAUUUAUAUUAGUUUAAUAAACCUACUGGCUUCUCUAUUCUUAGUUUUUGACUCCAUAUUUCUUCACUUGUAUGAUAUUUCUCAGUUAAUUUGUAAAUUCUAAUACUCUCUUAUUCUUGUGAAGAAGUACUUCCACCAUCAUGUCUUGAACUAAAAUUACUUUUUGUAUCAAUUUAUAAAACCUACUAGCUUCUUUGUUCUUAGUUUUUGACAACAUGUUUCUUCGUUUUGGAGUUGAUUGUUCACUAUUUUGUCAUUUUGAUGCUUCUCAUAAUUUUGGCGAGGUGCUCAGAGAAGUAGCCACUCUCUCACGGUUGCAGCAUAAACAUGUUGUUCGGUACUAUCAAGUGAGUGUUUCUUCAUCUUUAUGGUUUACUUGAUGCUUCAGUUGUCUUCUUGUCUGAUGUCUUUAAAUAUCAUUUAGUACUCACAGCAGAAAGGAUUUCUCUUUUAAUGGAGAAAGUCUUCUCUUCUCUAUCACUGUAAUUCCGUGUAAUAUAAAUAAUGGGCAAUCACAAAAUGACAUGUUAAAGUGGUCGAACUGGUGCAAUCACAAAAUGACAUGUUAAAGUGGUCGAACUGGUGCGUUCAUUUCCAAGGGCAUGUUGUAAUUUAAAUUGAAAAAAUGGAAAUAAAAUAUCUUUUUAAUGAAGCUCUCUGUUAUCUCUUUCUCACUCUCUGUCUCUCUCUAGGUAUUGUGUUUUCUACCUAUACACGAAUGUGAAAUGUUUACAAUUGUUUGCCCAAAUGAACGCUACCUUAAUUUGGAAGAUUAAGCUGACAUAUACUGUACAAUAUAGGACAUUUGUUAAUAAUGAUGUUCAGCUGAUAUCUGCCUAGGUUUGCAUUCUUUUUCUACUUUUAUUGAAUUUUGUAUUUAUGAUUUCGAAGUUUAAUUAUGGGAAUGUUGCUAAGCAAACUUUUACAAAUAUUAUAAAGGAAGAGUUGAAAAUGUGCUGAAAAAUGUCUUAGCAUGCUAAGACCAAAAAAGUUAUUUACAUAGGUUUUUGGACUAACGGAAGAUUGUCGGAAAUGAAAGUUUUCUAAUUGUACUUGUUAUCAAGGUUGCUACGUUUGAUGUUUUUAUAUAUAUAGUUUGACUUUCUCACAUGGCUGAACCAACAGGUCAAUAAAAUCUUAAUUAAUGUGCCCAUUUCCAGUAAUAAACAAGUUUUUGAUUCAUGACUUGAACAAACAGCUGUUGAUUAUUCUUUUUUCUGAAUAUACUGCUUGUCUAUUUGACCAAUAACUUAUAUCUGCAAAUUUAUUCUCUGGCAGUCUAAUUUAUAACUUACCAGUAAAUCAUGGUUACAGGGCCAUUGUCGACUUACACUUGCAUAAUUGCAUUGUAAACAAUAGUUUGAACUAAAAUGCCAACACAACCAUCUAAUUUGACUUCUUACUUUUGCCCUAAUUUGGUAAAUUUAGGCAUGGUUUGAAACCGAAUAUGGUGGUUAUCAUGGAGAGAGUGCUUUGGGAUCUAGAACCGCAGACAGCUUUAGUAGAACCUACACAGGUGUCAGCUCAAACGAUGUUACUGGAGAUAACAUGCAGGAAUCUACAUACUUGUACAUUCAAAUGGAGUAUUGUCCUAGGUAUAAUGUUUUUAAUCAUCUUUUUUGUCUUGCAGUUUGUUUUGUUUAGCCUACUGUUAUGAUUGCCUUCUAUUUAACGACCAUCCCAGUUCACUAAUAUCAGCACCUUGUUGGUCCCUAACCACUGACCAAAAUGCUUGAACCUAUGUUACUAAUAAUAGAGUGUUGUCCUCAAAUACUAACUAUAGUCUUUAUGCUAUCCAGUUUCUGUCUGUUGGGGUGUCACAAACUCUUGUUUAGGCUUGGGGUGUCACAAACUCUUGUUUAGGCUCCAACGUCCUCGCUAGACCCACUAAAUCAACCCAGGACUUCUAAAAUUCAAGAGGUGGUUCCUACCAUGUACAUGGAGCAGCACUUUGUUCUAUAUACUGCUCAAUUUCACACUUUUGGUUGGCACUCUAAUAUGAUAUGUUUACUGUCUGACUUAGCCCACCAUAAUUAGAAACUUGUUGGGACCCAAACUACUAGUUCAAAAUGCUUAAGCCCAAGCUACCAAUGCGAAAGUGUUUGUUCUCAAGUAUUGAGGCAUCGACAUACCAUCUGAUGUGGGACUAUUGGUGUAUUGCAUAUCCUAUAAUUAGUUAUGAAGUUGAAGCAAGUGCUAUUGUAGUGCAAGAGCUGUUAAUAAUUAAGUAUAUCAACAGCAGUAAUCUUUAAGCCAUAGGUGCAGUAAGAAGACAAUGCAUGGUUUGAACACUACGCAGCUUAUAAGACCAUCUAUGAUCUAAACAAGUAUCCUAUCGUUAGAGUUUCUUGUUGGGUUGAAAUUACUAAUAGUUUGGAACUUACUGAGAAUGUUGUGGAUCAAUUAUAAUGUAAUGAACCUUUUGUUUUGUCUUGAGCAUUAAUUUUCUAAAUAUCUGCACUUUGUUAUUGAAAUCAGGCUAUUUAUGGGUUGUUGGCCCUUUUUCUAAGAUGAAAUUGUUGUGAGCCUCAUGGAAAUAGUAAAUAGGUCAUAUGAACUUUGUGUCUUGGUUAGACCUCCUCUCUAACCAUUCUUUUCCAAAUCUAGAUAUCAUUCUUGUAAUAUGUAGUAUAUAUUUUUCUUCUCAAUAAUAGGAAAAGGAAAGCUCACAAAAAUUGGAAAGUUUUUGUGACUCUGUUUUCAAAUGGAGUGUUGUGGGAAAGUGUACCAUGAGGUGACCAGCACCUUCUUGCAGCAGAGCCGUAGUAUAAACCUAGCUGCCAGAUGCAGUCAUUCUUUUCACCUCUUUUUUCUCCGUACACUGGCCCUCUUUCUCUCUUCUCUUGUACUCGUAUUUUCGUUGUCGCAAAGGCUUCUCUUUCUUUUUGUCAUUGCUCCGUGUGAACCCUUGUCCCUUGUUUCUUCUACUUUGACCACUUCUAUCAAUGGCUCCUGCAAAUGUCAAAGAUUACUGGAUCCUAUUCUUUUUCUCUACUAUAGUCGGAUCCACAAUCUAUCAUAAUCACUACAAAUGCUUCAAAAUAUUCUAAUUUCAUCAGCUUUCUUUCUACUCUCUUCAACUACGUUCUGGUGCUGCUAAGUGUUCACGGACAAAUAUUGACGCCUGAUACAAUUUCUACGACAACAAGUACCAACAGUAUCUUAUAUAUCCUAAUAUCCCUAGACAAAACAAGUGGCAACUGUGACUGAUUGUUUGUCUCCGUUAUUAUUUGUUGAUGUCUGCUGAAUAGUUAUUCUAUUUUGUAAGUUUACUCUUAUAUUAUGUGAGAUGAUUACACAACACUCUUGGUUCCUAAUUUUAGUUAUGUAAUAUUGGAUCAUCAUUCUCCCAUGGAAUGCACUUCUGUCUUUGGGAUUGACUUGCUAGAAAAUCAUGAGGUUAGGGACUGACACAUCCAUCAUGACAUUCAUAAUGCUUAACUACUUUGUUGUUAUAUAACAUUACAAAUGACACUUAAAUAUUAUCAUAUUGAGGCCGAACUAGCACUUAUCAGACUCAAAAGUGGUAAUUUUUAUAUCUAUAUACUCUGACAAGUUUAUUAUCCACCGUAGCUUUAACUCCUGACUAUAGGUCUUAACCAUAAAACAAGAUCGUAUCUCAUCCUUAGUUCCUCUAUUGUUGUUAUAAUAAUACAUUUCUAUGAUACAAUUUCUGUUGUUUCUUUCCUUACUUUUCUUUUUGAUGUAUGAAGGACUUUACGGCAAGAUUUUGAAUCAUAUAGUUCUUCUUUCGAUAAGGACUAUGUGUGGCAUUUAUUUCGGCAAAUUGUGGAAGGCCUUGCGCAUAUACAUAGUCAAGGAAUCAUCCAUCGGGACUUGACACCUAACAAUAUAUUCUUUGAUGUCCGUAAUGAUAUUAAAAUUGGGGACUUUGGUCUUGGUAAGUGUACAUAUAUAGCCAUAUUAGAAUACUGGAUUUAACUUUUUUUUUUUUUGCUUGUGCAUGUGGGAGUUGUAAUGCUAUAUUAUAAGUUUGAAGUAUUAUGAAGGUACUAUAAGAGAGGUUAAGUCAAAAUAUAUCCUGGGAAAAAAAUUUAAAAUUGUGUACUUGUUAGUGAAGAUUUAAAUUUAUCAUACAUGUCUCUCUAAUAUAUUUUUGUUUUCUGUUUGUGCUGGGUGGGUUGUUGGGCAGGGUGGGGGGUCUUGUUUUUGGUUGCCGUUUUCUCUGGGGGGAAGGUUGGGGGUGGUUUGGGGGGGGGGGGUGUCGCGGAUGUGUAGGUGGGCAUGGGCUAGGGGAGGAGGGGAGGGUUGUUUAAGGAUCGAACUAAAUGAUGUGGUAGAUAUAUAAGUUGGGAGAAACAUAUGGCAGUCCAAAUAUCUGAGUGAUAUAUUUGCUUUGUUAUAACAGUCAUUCAUUAGGUUAAAAAAAAAAAUUUAAAUUUUAAAUACAAAUGUAGUUUACCUGGCUAAAUACGUGCAUGCAUCAAAUUUGAAAGAUUUCUAGCUAGUUAUUUGAAGACUACUUUUAUCAUUCAUUUUGGAAGUUAUUUCCUUAGUCAAAAUUAGUUUACUAGCAAUUAUUUUACCUGUUACUUGUGUAAUAGGUUUUUUGUUAAAUUUGGCCAUAUGCUUGCUAAAGAAAUCUAAUUGUGUUUUAUUUGCUUUCAGCGAAGUUUCUGAAGGAGCAGUUGGAUCAUGAUCAAUAUUUUCCUACUGAGGCAACUGGAGUUUCAACAGAUGGAACUGGUCAAGUUGGCACUUAUUUUUAUACAGCGCCUGAAGUGGAGCACAAUUGGCCACAGAUUAAUGAAAAGGUUCCAAUUAUGCCACCAAUAUAACUAAUUUCUUUUAUAUCUAAAUUUGAACAAUUAAAAUAAUGAUGUUAGAGGAUUGUAAACAUUAUUCAUUGCCUUUCACAACAGGCAGGGGCCUAUGCCACCCGUGUCGUACCGUGCCAGUGGCGUACCGACGUGUGGCACGGGUCGGUGCUGCUUGGCACUCAGAAAUUGUGGGCAUGCCACUUUGUAUCGUGGUGUGCCGCUUCCAUAUCGCCUCGUAUUGCGGAACACCGCUCUGUAUUGCCCUUCGCCUGUUAGUGCCGAAAUAACAUGGUGUGGCACGGAUUUAUUUACUCUUUUUUUUUUUUCUAUUUUAAGGGGUGAAAGGAGGUGUUUUGAUAAUGUCACCGCUAUUUUUGUGCCAAUGCCGGUCACGGUAGCACACUUACAUCAUGAUACAAUUCGUUAUAAUGAAUAUGUUGCAAUUAUUACAAGAUGUAUCGGCACCAAAUGAGCUUUCACCAGUCAAGGGAUCAAUCUAGUAACUGAUGAUGAUAAUUACUAAAUAUGAUCCACCUAGGAACUCAAUGUACUACUAGCAAUGGUAGAUAAAAGUUUAGACUUUAGACUAAUGAUUUGGGCAUAUUGAAUCAAGGAUUUAAGUGCCCAUCAGCGGGCUGUAUCCACCGUGCCUUAUUGUGCCAGCAAGAUAUCGGCACGAUACAGCUUCCGUGCUGAUGGCACAACUCAAAACCCUCUAUUCUUUAAAUUCGUAAGUAGUUUUCUCAAUAAAGUUCAAAAGAUUUGAUAAAAAUACAUAGUAAAUAAUUUGUAUGUUUUGUUGCUAAAGAAAAUAAAUAUUUUAUGCCAUUAUGUGUCGGCAUACAUAUAAUUUUUGUGACCAGCAUGCAUCGGCAAGUUUCCAGCACGACCCCGUUUCCACGACACUUAAAUCCGUGUAUUGAAUUACUCUAGUAGUAUUUAUUAGUCUUAUAUUACCAUUUAUAUACUUUUAUGAGUUGUAUAUGACUAUUUCGAUUUGGACUAGAUGAGAGGUACAAUUUGGAUCAAGUUUAUAUCCAUUACAAACCUUAAAAUAUCUUAAGAAGCUAGCAUUAAGCUAAAAAAAUAAAAAAAAAAUUGCACCAAACCCAUGUCAGUGUGCCAGUGGCGUGCCACUGGUACAGGGGGCCGUAUCGACACUGGCAUAGCCUGGGCCGUUGUGCUGUGGCAUGGCAAUCCUUGACCUUUCAACACUGUAAUAAUCUUAUGUUGAUCAUAAAAUUGUUUUCCUUUUCUUGUUGUGUUUAUCGCCCCUUUUUUACAUCCGUUGAACGUUAUUAUGUUGUUCAGGUUGAUAUGUAUAGUUUAGGGAUCAUAUUUUUCGAGCUAUGGCACCCCUUUGCAACCGCAAUGGAGCGACACAUUGUUCUUUCAGAUCUUAAACAGAAGGUUAUUCCUCCUUCCUGGGCUGAAAAAUAUCCUGGUCAGGCAAAUCUGCUCCGACGCUUGACAUUCCUGGGCCCCUCUGACCGCCCGUCUGCUAUUCAGCUUCUACAACAUGAGUUGCCUCCAAGAAUGGAGGAUGAGUGGUUGAACGGUGAGAAUAUCGACCUUCUGACUUAUAGGCAUAUAUCUCUCUCUCUCUCUCUCUCUCUCUCUCUCUCAUUUAGAGAGGAAAAACUAAAUUACUUGUCUCUAUUUAUGUAUAACCUCUUCUUACUUUUCUUGUUUCAUCACUCUAUUUCUUUUUUGCUUUAGUCACUCGUCAUAUAUUAGGUUCUAAAUUAGGUACAUUUUUGACUUCGUCAAUCUUGGAUGAAUAGGCAUCAGGCAUCAGCAUUCGCAGUUGUAUAUCCCAUUUGUUGAUUGAACAAGCCACUGUAUAUUUAAGUAGUCUUUAAGAGCAUUGCCUGAAAGCUAUCUUGUGACCUUCCACAACAUUAUGUCAACCUGGACAUUCUUAGUUCGUGUUUGAGGGCACCAGCUUUUGUUAACAAUCAUGUCCCUCAUUUUUUGAGUAUUUCAUCUUAUCAAGUUGCAUUUUAUUCCAGAGCAUGUGGUUGGUUUUCUUCUUUCUGACACAGACUCAAUGUUUGAUGGGCAGAUGUACUCAGAACCAUACAGGCAGCAGAGGACACAUAUGUUUACGACCGAGUUGUAUCUACCAUAUUUAAUGAGGAGAGACUGAUUAUGAAAUCGAGUCGUCAGCAUGACAGCAGUGCAAAAAUGAUGAUGAACGAGUCCUUCACACAAUCCACUGAACUAGAUACAGAAAUCCGAGACACUGUUGUUGAAAUCAGCAAGGAAGUCUUUAAAAGACAUUGUGCAAAGAGAUUGGAGAUAUCACCUUUGAACAUCUUGGAUGGCAGUUAUCCAUUUAAUAGGUCAGAAAUUCACUUCUCUUUGGAUCACCUUAUUGGUGAUUGUUCCAUGAAAGUUCGGUCAAAAUGCACGAACCUUACAAUACUGUUGUGCAUUACGAAAUUGAUAUCUGAACUUUGAAAUUUAACUUUACUACAUAAUCUUUCACUACUCUCUUCAGAAAAUUUCAUCAAGUUCUGUUAGGAGUUAGGACUAUUUAUUUAUUUAUUUAUUUUUCCAUCAAGUGUGUUAAAGACUGUUUUACUGGUUAAUAACAUGUUUUAUUAGGUUAUAGAAUAUUUUGUCGUGAAAAUACCCCGAAGUUCUGAGGAGAGGUAGUUAAAUCACAUAUACUGUAAUGUUAGAUUAUAAAAGCAAGUGCAGGUGCUCAUUCAAAUUGUGCUCACACGUUCAAAUUGUGCUUACAGUUCAGAUAAUGUUUGUACAUUUUUACCUGGCAUUAUUAGUUGGUUCCAUGAUGGGAGUUCUAAUUGUUAAUGUUUAAUAAACAGGAAGUCAGUGAAGCUUUUAACCCAAGGAGGAAAUAUUCUUGAGCUCCGCCAUGAGUUACGGACACCAUUUGUUACUUGGAUCGCAACAAACCAGGUACUUGACAAAAUUAGUGCCUUGUUCUCUUCACACCUUCAGGGGGAUGCGAUUAAUUCAUGAGAUACACUGGCGCUGUGUUGUUUGAAAUGAUGCGGUAGUGUUUUCAUCCUAUGUUAACUCUCUUGUCAUGUUUACUUGUGGCAUGAUGGAGUUUGAACUUGUGCUUGCAUGGCUGCAAUCAGCUAGUCAAUUUUUUUGCAAUAAGAAAGUGAUAGAUUAUUAUUGAUUUCACUAGUGGCAAGUAUUAUACUGUAAGUUUGUUUCAGUUUGAGGAGCUUUGGUGUUGGAGUCUUUAUAAAUGGUUUUCAUGUUGACAUAUUUCCAAUAUCUUAUAUUUAUGCAAGUCGAACAAAAUACCAAUAUUUAAAAUAAUUUUGAUUGUCAUGCCUUAUAAAUUCUUGAUUAUGUUGAUAUUUUAUUAUAUGUGGUGGUGUCUGUAAUCUGUGUCAUCACUUUUCUAAUAUCCACAUUCUGCUCUUUGGGCUUUUAUUGAGGAAUGACAUGUAGUAAAUUAUUUCAAAUAAAUGAUUUGUAAGUAAAUAUCAAUGUUUAACUAUUUGACAAGUUACACUCUCUUUCUUUUUCUAAGCAUGAAAAGCACUGUUCGGACGAUUAUUUUUGUUUGUUUCUUGCUGAGGUUGUUACAUGUACAAAUAGUGAAAAUGCAAUAACCUGCAUAUAUGUUGAUGUCACUACUUGCUUGAUGCAGCAAUCAUCUUUCAAACGUUACGAAGUCUCUUCGGUUUAUAGAAGAGCAGUUGGUCAUUCAACUCCUAGUCGCUUCCUUCAGGUUUAGCUGUCUAUCUGCAAAAGUUCUACAUGUUCGUUCUCAUAUCUUUUUUAUCAUGUCUUUGUUUUCCCUUUAUCUUUAACUAGUUUUGAUGGGAACAUUUGAUAACAGAAGUUUCUGUAAAAGUCUCAAAUACUUAUUUUUGUGUAGGGCGAUUUUGACAUCAUUGGAGGCACUUCACCAAUAACAGAGGCUGAAGUUAUUAAGGUAUUACUUUUCAUCCAUUACCAAGCAACAUCUUCACAACAUGGUUAAUUUUCUGUUUGGUGGAAUACGUGGGAGAAUGCCUUAUAUACCAUUUAUUUAUUUGAAUAUUUUCUUUUCUUUCAUUUGUGCCCCCGUCCAUAGCGGAAGAUGUUAUUUCGAUAAUUGUAUUCAAAUGUAUUGUAUGUUACUUUGUCUUUUCAUUCUAAACUAUAUUCAUAUUAUGUAGCUAGCUCCAAUCAUGCAGCUCUCAUGAGUUUUGGAUAUGUUAUUGCAUUUAUGAGCCAGCAGAUUGGCCUCUUUAUGUAGGAAUAGACAAGGAUGGUACCUUAUAUGAUAUUUUUUUCUCCCUUACAUUUCUUGCCUUUGAUUCCCAUAACUAUAAUUGGGAUCAAUUACAUUGAUGUCCUUAAAUUUCCAUUGUAGAUCAAAGGUCCGUAUAUAACCAGAUUUGAGUUUGUCGUAGUUUCCCAUAAUUUUAGCAUGAACUGGUUUAUAUGAUGAAUCUGUAGGAAUCUCCUUGAAUUUAGUUCACAUGUUGAUGUUAUGAUUUUUCUCUUUUGUGAAUUUUCUAUAUUGUCUGGGAAUUCGUUCUUUACCAAUCGCUUCACUAUAAUAAUCCUUGUGUAUUGUCAGUUUGGACUGUGAUUCUGUAUGCAUGGGCUCGCAUUUUAAUCAGCAUCUAAUUAGAUUGCAUAAUAAAAUUAUGCAUUUUACAUCUUUUCCUCAGACUUCUUAAAACUAAUGGUGGUAUAAUGCAAACUUUUAGGUGGUAAUGGAUAUUGCAACCCGCUUUUUUCAACCAAAUGCAAUAGACAUUCGACUCAAUCAUGGCCAAGUGUUGGAAUCAAUUUGGUCUUGGGUUGGAAUUACUCGUGAGCUUCGGCAGAAUGUAGCAGAGGUACAUCACUACAAGUUGCUUCUCAGUUAAGGUAUUAAUAGUAAUAUGGCUGACCCUUUUUUAACCUCCAAGUGCAGCUUUUGUCCUUGAUCGGCCCAUUAUGUCCUCACUCUACAGGUCGAAAGUCAAAUUGGAAAUUCAUUCGACGACAGCUUCUACAGGUAAAUAUAAUGAAUAGUACCCCUGACCAUUGUAAUUUUGGUUCUGAAUCAUUUUAGAUAUUUUGGAUGAAUAGUUCUGUGUUUAAAAUCGAACCAAUGGUUGAACUAAUCAAUAUUAUGUAUCUGCAAACAUUUCAGUGAUAACUGGUGGAGACAGAACUUUUUUAUGGGAAACUGUUGUCACAACUGAAUAUUCUAUCUGUCGAAUAAAUAGUAGAAUAAUUGAAAGUUACAGUGAGAAGCUGCUGAGCGAAAUGAUGAUAAUCGCAAUAUAAUCUUGUAGCAUCCAAAGUUUGUUAUUUCUUAAGCACUUCCUAAUCUCACAGGCCUUGUCUACCUCUCUCUCUCUCUCUCUCUCUCUCCCCUCACCAGAUUUACAAAAGGCAGCUAGCUAAUGAGUGCUGCAGAGCUACUAUAGUACCCUUGUUUGAACAUUUGUUUGCCUAUGCAUGCUCUCUUUUUGUCUGCUGGCUAACAGGUUAUCUACCUAUUAUUAAGGAGUACUGGUAGUUGUAACAUAGAAGCCAAGAAGAAUGUUUUCCUUAUGUUGAUCUACAUAUCUAUAUCCUUAAACACUUGCCAAUUUACUUGUAUAUACCUGCAAAAUCUGAAUUUUCAUGCCCUUCGCAAACUUAGUUCUUUUACCUAUACCGCUCUGCUUAAAAAAGCCCCCCUUUAAAAUACUUUUCCUGGUACGAAACAACUUACCUCAUGAAUCGAAUGACUCCUCAACCUACGUGUAUAUUUUAAUGAAGUGCACUUUCGAGGGUAUAAAAUAUAAGUUCGGGCUUCGCCAAGAAACGGAUGUAUUAAAAGAUUCUUUCUUAUAUUUCUUCGUAUAGAUUGAUGUAUGAAUUUCUUAUUCUUAUCCAGGAUCUUAAUCUUUCCGAAACAGUUGUUGAUAGAUUACAGAUAGCAGACUUGAGGUUCUGUGGAUCUGCAGAUCAGGCCAUUGCUAGAUUGAGAGGGGCCCUUUCAUUCGGUAGUUUUUUUAAUAUCUAAUUUUUAUGUUCUUUAUUCAAUGCAAAAGAGAAGCAAAAUAUUUUUAUUGUUGUGAUACUGCAGAUAGGCUUACAUGCAAGGCUCUUGAAGAAUUGUCUGCCCUUCUAAGCUAUUUGAGGGUGUGGUCAAUUGAGCAGCAUGUUUCUAUUGAUGUUCUCAUGCCUCCUACAGAAGUUUACCAUAGCAGCCUAUUUUUCCAGGUUAAGAUCUGUCUGUGUUAUUCUGUUUUAUAAUUAUUUUAUUUAAAACAUAAAGUGGUGUAAAUGGUAAAUAGAAAACUUUUAGUACUUGAUUUUACUUAUAUUUGGAUUUUGCAUUUGUUCAUCUUUUGAUUAAGUAGUACAAAUGUCAACCAAAAGAAUUAUAUAUUUCUUAAUGUCCUAAAGCUCCUUCCCAAGGUUCAAAGCGUUGUCUCGUGCCGUAUGGCAUGAGGCGGAAGGUGGCGCAGUACAGAGGCGUGGGGGGGUGGGGGGGGUCUCGUACCCCUCUCCGUGCAGCGGCAUGGAUCUGUGUAUCGCGCGAGACAGAGUGAUAUGCAGGUCCGUGCCACAGCACUGUGCCAUGCCGGCCUACUCUUUUUUUAAAAAAAACUUUUUUUUUGCUUUUUGUUUUUUUUUUUCUUUUCGUUUUGUUCUUUGGGAUAUCGCGAAGCAUCCUACACCCUCCAAGGACAUUACAAAUCGAAAAUCUACUUGUUAGGUAAGUAAAAAAAAUUAUAAUUUAAUUUUUUUUGUUUAUUAAUAUUCAGGAAAUUUUUUAAUUACAUAUCCAAUCCAUACCGUAGGGGACCCCCCCUAUCAGCUUGAGCCCUCCGCUUUCAUCACAGACAUCUAUUUUUUUUCAUAAAUUAUUUUAUCAAAAUUUGUUGCACCGCGGAAUUUUUGGCGAAUUAAGGGAACAAAAUUGAAUUUAAUAAACAAAUUUUGAGGCACAUCAAACAUAAAAAAUUAUUUUUUCUUUAGAAGAUUAAAAAUGUUGAUAAAAUUAAAAGCUAAAUUAAAUCAAUUGAUACUUAAAUUUUUAGUUUAUUUGUCAUAUAAUUUAUUGCUUAAUUUUUUUGAUAGAUCUAAUAAAUUUUUUAAAAAAUUAAUUAAAAAUAAUUUUUUCAAAUACUUUUUAACAUAAUUGUGCAAAUUAUUUUAAAAAUUAUUUUAAAAAUUAUUUUUUUUGUAUUUUAUAAAAGAAAACUGUAAUAUGGUCAAAAGAAAGAAAAAAAAAUGUCUUUGCAUUUUAAAAAUUUUAACCUGUAAAAAUUUUUAUUGUGCAUUAGGUGUAGUUAUACUUACAUAUAAAAAAGCUUACAAGUAUGUUAAUUGAUGAGUAUAGUAAGUUAUACAUAGCAAAUAUUCAUAAUUAUUUGAUUAAGUCUUUCAAAAUAAUAUUAUAAGAGCUUAUUGGAAUAAAAAAAACUGAAAUAAGUUCGUGCCAAAGCGUGCUAGUAGGAAAUCAUACAUAUCCAUCGGCACGCAAGACAGGGUGCACGGAGAGGGGUCUCGUAACCCUCUCCGUGCAGCGGCAUGGAUCUGUGUAUCGCGCGAGACAGGGUGAUAUGUAGGUCCGUGCCACAGCACUGUGCCAUGCCGGCCUACUCUUUUUUUUAAAAAACUUUUUUUUUGCUUUUUGUUUUUUUUUUUCUUUUCGUUUUGUUCUUUGGGAUAUCACGAAGCAUCCUACACCCUCCAAGGACAUUACAAAUCGAAAAUCUACUUAUUAGGUAAGUAAAAAAAAUUAUAAUUUGAUUUUUUUUGUUUAUUAAUAUACGGAAAAAUUUUUAAUUACAUAUCCAAUCCAUACCGUAGGGGACCCCCCCUUAUCAGCUUGAGCUCUCCGCUUUCAUCACAGACAUCUAUUUUUUUUCAUAAAUUAUUUUAUCAAAAUUUGUUGCACCGCGGAAUUUUUGGCGAAUUAAGGGAACAAAAUCAAAUUCAAUAAACAAAUUUUGAGGCACAUCAAACAUAAAAAAUUAUUUUUGCGUUAGAAGAUUAAAAAUGCCGAUAAAAUUAAAAGCUAAAUUAAAUCAAUUGAUACUUAAAUUUAUUUAAUUUAUUUGUCAUAUAAUUUAUUGCUUAAUUUUUUUGAUAGAUCUAAUAAAUUUUUAAAAAAAUUAAUUAAAAAUAAUUUUUUCAAAUACUUUUUAACAUAAUUUUUCAAAUUAUUUUAAAAAUUAUUUUUUUUGUAUUUUAUAAAAGGAAGACUGUAAUAUGGUUAAAAGAAAGAAAGAAAGAAAGAAAGAUGUUUUUGUCUUUUAAAAAUUCUAACCUGUAAAAAUUUUUAUUCUGCAUCAGGUGUAGUUAUACUUUACAUAUAAAAAAGCUUACAAGUAUGUUAAUUGAUGAGUAUAGUAAGUUAUACAUAGCAAAUAUUCAUAAUUAUUUGAUUAAGUCUUUCAAAAUAAUAUUAUAAGAACUUAUUGGAAUAAAAAAAAACUGAAAUAAGUUCAUGCCAAAGCGUGCUAGUAGGAAAUCAUACAUAUUCAUCGGCAUGCAAGCGUAUCCAUCGACACGCAAGCGUACUAUGUAUCGACAUGCAAGCGUAUCAUGUGUCGACACGAAAGUGUGCCGGUGCCGUAUCGUACUAGGCAGACAGCGGCACGCUUCCGUGCCACGGUACUUUAAACCUUGCUCUUUCCUGUAUGAGAUCACUGGCUUCUGAUCUGUGGACUAACUGUUAUUACAUAGAAAGAUUAAGUGCAGAUAUAUAGUCAUCUACUUAUGUAUUUUAUAGAUAUUACUAGUCCUAUUGAUUGAUUCUUCCAUACUGGCUUUUCAGUUUCAUGUAUGCCUAGAAAUUGAGCAAUUGCAUAGAAACAUGAAACUCACACUGAAACAAAGAGUUAGAAUUUAUGUUAGUUUAAGCCUUAAGAAGUAUAUCAUAUGAAUGAUCGCUUCUCAACAUGAGAUCGAAAUAUAUUGAUUUGCUGGGUCCCUUGGUUCUUUGUUUUACCAAGUCAAAUAUGGUGAUCUACCUAUUGAUACCUGGCAUUUGUUAUUCUAGUUAAGAUUACGACCAUCUGUAAGUUUUAUUAUUAUUAUUUUUUAAUCUACACACUUUUAAUGGUAAUCUGCACACUGUUAAUGGUCCUCAGCAUGACAUGUAGUCAAUAAAAAACGUACUCGAUUAUUCGAUGGAAAAAGAAUUCACUACCCAUAUGUGUUCAAUCGCAUUCAGCUGAUCCCGUAUCUUGUGGAAUGUUUCAGAACUGUGAUGAUUAGCUCGUUGUUUAUUUGUUGAAUGUUUGUACUUGAAAAAAAACGGCAUAAAUACAAUUUGUAAAAGUUUAUGUGUUUGCGUUGGUUUAUAUUGUCCUGGAAAUACAUUUUGGAUAAAUUGAAAUGACUAUAUAGCUGGGGCAACAUAGAAGCUCCAGUUUCUUGGUGUUGUAUCACAAUCGCCUUGCCACCUUAAUUGAUGACUAGUGACAUGCGGAUGCAGGUUUACCUAAAAGAGAGUCUUCCUGGAUCAAGUACUGAGGCAACCUUGCUAGCUGUUGGCGGCCGAUACGAUCAUCUGAUGCAGCAAUAUUGGGAUCAGGUAUGUAAGUUACAACUCAUACGCCUGCACCUCUUUGGCCUGGUUUCCGAGUAGCUGCUCUGUUCUGGAGAUCAGCUACCAGCCAUUUGGCGAGUAAAGGUCUCGAGCUUUUAUAUUGCAUGUCCUAAAAAUAGAAGCUCCAAUUUGAAGCCUCUACAUUUUCUGCAACAAAGAAGUUUUUAUGACAUUUUGAUUGAGAAAAUUGUUAAUGCUGCUUCAAACAUUUAUACACAAACAUCGCUUUUCUACGAUUGUCCUAUCCCGCGGCAUUGAUCACUCCAAAGUCAUUUUCUGAAAGAGAGUAUAGUGAUCAAGUUAUCAGACAACUUGGAGUAGUCUUAGGCCAUGCACCUUAGAAAAGCUUAAGCAGAAAAGUGAGUAUUAAUGAUCAACUUUGAGUUUAUCUUCUUCUUGGCUGAACCAACACCGACCCAGUUUUGCUUCAGUCUAGGGCAUGGCAAAAAAAUUUUGCUAAUAGAGCAGCUAGCUAAAGGAUAAUAAACAAUUGAAGGUUGGGGAGAAUAGAAUAUUUUGCUGUGACUUUCUUAAAGAAAGAAAAAUGUUUAUGAACAGGGGGGGAAAAAAUUGCCUAGUCUUCCCAGAUUCACUAACAGAUAAAUUGCUCUUGCAAUAAAUGUGAUGGGGGUUUCUGAACUAGUUGGUCUGUUUUACUUUGUUGUAGAACAGUUCAAACAGGACGAAGUUUGCUAAUCAAUUAAAUAUUCAGUGCAGACAUCAGAACAUUUUCUCUCUUUUCUUUUCUUAAUAAUUUUUAUCAUUGAUUUUUACUUUAAACUGGACCUCAGCAUAUAUCUGGCCAGAAAACUAAUCCAUCGGGUGCAGUUGGAGUUAGCAUCGCAUUGGAGAAAAUUCCUAUGCAUUGUUCGGUAGAUAUCAGGCCGCCAAGGUGCAGUUUCCAUUUUGUUGGCUAGUUUCCUUCUUUAAUCUAACUAGGAUCCUUGAAAAGGAUCUCCAAUAAAUUUUUCUCGUAAUAACAUUGUAUAUUUUCCUUCGACUAUCCAGGAUUGAACCCAGCAUUAGUGUGCUUGUCUGUUCAAGAGGUAGUGGCGGACUGCUACUUGAGCGCAUGGAGUUUGUCGCAGAACUUUGGCAAGCCAACAUAAAGGUUUGUUUUGCAUAAAUAGUAUUAAGAAAAUAUUUAGGAGAGUUUUAAGUGCUAUUAGAUGUGAACCUUCUUGGUUACUGACCAUUAAGAGUCGAUGAAUUCACAGGCAGAGUUUGUUCCCCAGCCAGACCCAAGCCUCAAAGAACAGUACGAAUAUGCAAGUGACCAUGAUAUCAAAUGUCUUAUCAUUAUUACUGAAGCUAGUCUAUCUCAAACAGAAAUGGUAAAGGUAAGGUAUCUAUCCUUAAUUGUAUUGUUCUUUUUUGAGUAGUUAUCUACUCUUGGUGAACAUUCUUAUAUAACCAAUGUAAGCAUAAUCAGCAGCAACAAUUACAACGGUCAAAGCUAAGUAACAGGACUUCUGUCCAAGUUGAUUCUCUUGCUUAUGCUUAGCUGACCUGCUUGCGUAAUAUAUGUUGCUUUAGUUAAUUUCGUGCGGCUUAUUCUGUUUAUGACAAUAAUUAGUUUAUAUGAUGUAGAGAAUGUUUACUGAUAUUAUGGAUCUUUCAGUUGCUGAGUGUUAAUUGCCAUCAUUAAGCAUUCGUCAUGUUAAUUCUAGCUAAUACCUAACCUUGCUUGAUUUGUUUUCAUUUUUACGAUACAUCCUUUUCCUCAGUUUCGACAUCUUGAGCUGAAGAAAGAGAAGGAGGUUAAGAGAGAGGACAUUGUAAAGUUUCUGUUGGAGGCAAUAUCAACACAAUUCAGAAACCUUGCAAACUGGAGUUGAUUUUGUUUGCAUUUUUGGCGAAGUUUUCUUCCAGGUUUAUUCCUAAACCCCUUAAAAUUAGUCUUCCGUGCCUUUCUGUCAAUCCGAGCAUAAGAAUUUGGUAAAAUUGAUCCUACACAUCAUAGUGUAAUGUUGAUUUAGGAUAUUUUCUUAGUGUCGGCACUUACAAACUCUUUAUUUAUUUGUCUAUUCAAUUCAUCUGCGCUUUGGAUAAAUGAAGACCGCAGAUGAAGUGUUUAACAACUUGUCAUACUGCUUAGUUGCCAACUUGUGCUUUAAUUGGAAUUUAACACCAAUUUAAGAGCAUUUUCAUUAGGCAAAUUUGGUCCUAAGUAUUGAUAUAAUGUGCUAGGGAUAGUCCUAAGAAUAUAAUUAUCAUGAUAUUGGGUGCUAUCGAUUUUAGUAUAAUUAUCAUGGUAUAGCGAGCAAUAUGGUUUUACUUUUUCAUGUUGCAUUUGAUACUUAGCAUCUAUUGGGGUUAUAUUGGAAUUCAUGCAGAAGUAUAGGAGGUAGUAAGAUUUGAUUCGGAUAUAUAACCUGACAUAAUUGCACUGAUGACAGACUAAUUGCAGAAAAUUUACUGUGGGACAAAUUUCUCUGAUAUAUAAUCACAUAAGGUUUUUUAUUGGUUAUUUUGCAUAUUUGUUCUUCAAGUUCGCUUUAGAACACAUGUCGGUAAUUUCCGUCAGUAUCAGUAACUAUUUUAUUCUCUUCACAGUACUGUUUUUUAGUAAAGCAGCUAAAACUUAAUCGAACAUUAAAUUCCCAACUCUUUGAGUGAAUAUGCACUAACUUCUUCUUUCUCUUUCUCGCAGAUUCCUCGCCCAGAGCUGUAAAUAUUGUAAAUCAUGUAACCAGAAGCACACGGGAAUGCAAUGAAAUCGAGACACAAAGACCUAGUAAGGAGCUGCUGCUGCUGCUGCUGCUUCUUCUCUGCUGAUGCUAAUCGAAUUUCCUGUAGAUAUAGCAAUUUUGAUGCUCUUUGCUGCUUCAGAUUGGCUCUUUUCAUUUACAAGGGUGAUUUAAUUCUUUGUUUCGAUUAAAAACAAUGUAGAUGGGGUGCAAAAAGCUCUCCUUUUUGAGUGUGAUUAGGGACAGUUACUAUCUAUCAUGAGAAGUUGUUUGAGAUGUUGCAAUCUCUGUCCAUGUAAUUUGUUGCGCUAUCUCGACAGAAACCUUCUCCAAAUUCAGUAGUCAUCGGUUCAGGAUCCCGGAGAAAUUCAGUAGUCAUCGGUUCAGGAUCCCGCUGGCUCAAUUAAGAUAUAAUUUCCAUCGUCUAGCCCAAAAAUGAACAACAAUAUUUUGAGCGACAUAUUUGGUGACCCAACCUAUUUUUAUCCAAACCAAAAGAAAACCUAUUUUUCCAUCUAAUACCUGUACAUCAGCAAGAGGUAAAAAAGCAGCAUUUCUGGGAUACGUACUCAGGUACUUGCUGGGUUAUAAUUGCUUUACUGGCUUCUGUUUUUCAUCGUAUUUGUUCACUGUGGUCGUCGUUAAUCUAUAUGUGUCUUUUCACUAUUGGAUUUCUAUUUGUAAUUGGUUCGAACAGUUGUGUUAAUAUUCUCUAUGGAGUAGGCUAUGUCAACACUAAUAAAGCUCAGCUUUCUCGUGUAGAUCAUGAUCAUAGUAUGCAUAGUUUUCGAGCAAUUUUGACACCGACUGUUUGUAAGUUUUUGAAAGAGCUUGAUGGUUCAGUCUCGUUUAACAUUUGUUGUUGGAUGCUUCGAAAGAGACAGUCGGUUCUUACUACGAGGUCGAGGUAGUUGUAGGUGUGAAGAAUAUUAUUGAGGGUGGUGUGAUUGGACUUGACGCGAUAGAUGCUUAUAUGGAAGAAGAGGUUGAAAAAUGCUACCAAUACACUUGUAUGUAUGUGUAAAUUUUAUAUUUUUCCAUCCCAUCAUAGGUUUUAAAAUUAUCUUUUUAUUAUACUUUUCUCUUAAAAAGAGAUGUGAUUGGCUAGAUGUAAAUAAUAUGGUGUGACUGUCAUAUAGUAUAUUUUCUCGUCCACCGAUCAACUGCACCUAGUGUGGGGUGAACCGUCUCUGAUUGACAGAAUAAUAUAGGUAUGAAAAGUCGGCAAAAUGGAUCUGUAACAUUGGAAAAAGAAUUGGCUCCGAGGGCUAAGCACGAGGUCUCGACCUUGAACCCGCCGACUGCCGGCGAACUACGCGAGCUGCUCCCAUGCGCAGCGCGGUUGGUUAAAAGCUUAAUGAUUAAUAUCUGACGUAACAAAUCCGAAAGUCUAGUUUCUAGAAUACUUCAAAAAGAUUUCGGACUCCGAAAUUAUCUAAUCGUUAUCUUUUAGGAAUUAAAUUAUAUAUUUUUUUGAUAUUAUUUAACUUGCAUUUUCUCAUUUAAUGGGGUAGCACGUUCUAAAUUUGAUAAAAAUUUUUAUAGACAAUUUUUGAAAUGGUAGCUCGCUACCCCUCCUCUCUCUCUCUCUCUCUCUCUCUCUCUCUCUCUCAAAUAAAAAAUAAAAAGAAAAAAACUUUCCUGUCGUCCGCUUCCCUUAAUUUCUAAAUUUUUUAUUUUAAGUUCUUUCUAUUUAAUUAAGAAAGAACUUUGAUUACUUUAAUGGAUCAAUUCGCUAUUAGCAGUUAAUUACGAAAUAAUUAAAGCUACUAACUUUGAUGAAAUUAAUAGAAAAUUUGAUUACAUCUCCAAAUUUAUUUGGUUAAAAAUCAUUCAAUUUUAAAAGAAAUCAAAAGUUAAGAGGCUAUAUAAAAAAAAAAUCGGAAGACUCUUUCAGACUUCAGAGUGGCCUAAAAAAUUUGAGGAUCCUUUUCAAAAUUGUCUAUAGUUGAGGGGUCUCCCUACAUUUUCACUUAAGAAUUUGUGUUGGUAUCACACAACUACAUAAGUUAAGGGCCGGGACAUGAUGUUAUGCACCGAUAAUGAGGUAGUGAUAUUCAAUGGUUGAAUUGUACGAUUGGUCCCUAACUUUUAUCCUUUUUUGAUCUCUAGUCCUAAUCUUUUAAUUUCUAUUUUUAAGUUCUAAUCUUCAUAUUUUUGUCUUAAUGGAGCAGGCCACGUCAACUUCAAUAGCACAAUGAUCGGUCGAUCUAUCUUAGUAUUAAUAUUUUUAUUUCUUUUUAAAACAAAUUGGUGAUAUGUCUGACUCGAUUUUCACAAUAUUAGAUACUCCAAAAAAGACGGUAAAUAUCGUAUAUGAGAUUGAGAUGGUCAUAAACACAGAAAACGAUAUUGAGGUUGCUGAGAUUGGAUUUGACGCGAUGUGAGCUGAUAAAACGUGGGGAACUAAAGCGAAAAAAAUGAGCAAAUGUUAUGAACAAAUCGUGCAGUUAAUUUUAAAAGUUAAAACUUUUAUUGUAUAAAAGAAAAAAAAUAAAAAACAAAAGUUAGGGGGAUUGGUUGCAAGGAUUGGGGAGUUGGUUUGAGGAUACUACAUUUUGGUUUUCCUUUUUAUAAUAAUAUGUAGCACAUACUUAGGAAAGAGCUGUAGUGGUGCAAGUUUUGUUAGUAAUAAAUGGUGUCAGAAACAGAUGCACAUAAGUGGCUUGUCCUACUCACUCACUCACUCACUCUCUCUCUCUAUCUCUCUCUCUCUCUCUCUCUCCUAUUUUAGCAGAAUGGAACUACCACUGUCUAGUACAGUUGUUUGAUACUUUGUGUGCUGACUAAAGGGUCAGAAUUUGAUUUCAGCAUUUAAUAUUGAAACUUUUCAAGCCUCCCACUAUUUAGAAAACUAAUAUAUCUUAGAUAAAAAUAUAUAAAAUUUAUCUGAAUUAUGGAUCAUUUUGAUUCGGCUAAGUAAACUCUCAAACUAUUGAUUUUACUACCCAAUCUAUAUAUAUAUUUUUUGAUUUGAGUCGGUCAAUAGCUAUUUGACUUUACAAUUUAAGCUAAUUAAUUAUUUAAGUUGUGAAAAUUUUAUGAAUAAUUGUACUAAUUCAACCUAUAAAGAAAAUCAACAUAUUCACAUUUUGAAGUCAAAGUACCGUCAACAGACUCAAGUCAACCAAAUUGAAGGGUUGAAUAGUAAAUUCAAAAUUUUAAAUGAUUAAAUAGUAAAUUUAAAACGAUCUAUAGCUCAGAGAAGUUCUGUAUGUGUUUAUCUCUAUCUUAUAACCUGUUAUAGGAAGGAUUUUUGGAAUGGAUCCUACAUGCUUUUUGUUACGACAAACGCACAAACGAAAACGAAAAUGACAAACACGAAAUAAUCAAACCACAAGCAGAAAUAAAAAAGAAUACAUAGAUUUACGCUGAAAACCUUUUGUAGGGAAAAACUAUGGGUAAGGGAGGAGAGAACUUCACUAUUAGAAAAGGAAAAAUACAAUGUUCGAGUACAACCAACUUCAAUCUGUCGCCUCUAGGGCAAAAACGACAAAGGAAAUUCUUAACGGGUUUCGGAUCUGAUCUGUACCACGGAGGGCUCCGCCUCUCGCACUGGCCUGAGCCCUCUGCUACCCACCAUUGACAUUCAUUUUUCUUCCGCAACUUAUUUUUCAAUUUGGUCGCACCGUGAAACUAUCGGCGAGUCGAAAUUCCGAACUGAAGUCGAUUAUCAAUUUCGAGUCACAUCUAACACUUUUAACUCAAAUAAUAAUAAUAAUAAAAAUAAUAAUAAUAAUAAUAGUUUUGAAUAUUCUCACGUACAUUGUUCCUCGGGGGUGAACAUAAAAAAGAAAAUUAAAUUUUAGUGUUAACUAGUCUCGUCAAUUCUGUUCGGAUUAAAGUAUAAUAUGUGCGAAAGUUCAGAAAUUAGAGUAUCGAAAUAUUGGGAUUGUACAGGGACUAUUUAUACAUUUUUCUUUUGAUUCAAAUAUAUCCUUAUCCUAGUGUAGCGUACCACGGAGUAAGUAGAAUAACGUUGCAAUUAGGGCAAUGCAAUCCUAGGACCUGGUCCACCCAAGAUACAGGCAUGUGAUCAUGCAGCUAUAAGAAGGAGGUCAAAUAAUUGCAUGCUAUUUGCAUAAACUUAGCCACUGCUACUUCCAUUUUUCAUGCAUGAUUCGAAAUCGAAUUCUGUUGGAGUCGAAUUCGGAUGUCAAAAUUGGCUGUUCGGUCGGAUUCAAAUUCGAAUUCAAUGCUAACAAUAAAGAACUUCUCAUAUUCGAAUUCAAAUUCAGUUUAUAUAUAUAUAUAUAUAUAAGAGUCCGGCUAUUAUACUCUUAGGAGUACGAUCGUCCUCAUACUCAUAAAUUGUUUUCGAUGAUAGAGCUUCCGAAUCGAUGAUCCGCACUGUUAAAUGUCAUCUAAAGCAUUUAAAACGUCUAAAAAUUAAAUUUUAUAAUUUUUCAAUAUCGAUCAUUUACCUUACGAUCAAAAGGUCACAAAAUUGACAAUUUUUAACGGCCGGUAUAGAAUAUUUGCUAGUUUAACUGUAUAAAAAAAUCGANAUAUAUAAAAGAGUCCGGCUAUUAUACUCUUAUGAGUACGAUCGUCCUCGUACUCAUAAAUUAUUUUCGAUGAUAGAGCUUCCGAAUCGAUGAUCCGCACCGUUAAAUGUCAUCUAGAGCAUUUAAAACGUUUAGAAAUAAAAUUUUAUAAUUUUUCGACAUCAUUUACCUUACGAUCAAAAGGUCACAAAAUUGACAAUUUUUAACGGCCGAUAUGGAAUAUUUGCUAGUUUAACUGUAUAAAAGAAUCGAAAUUGGUUGAAUUUUUGAUAGAAAUUUUAUUCACUGUAUAGAUAAAGAUCAGUAGCUCCGAUCUUAAAUUGAAGGAUCCGAUCAUCCAUAUUUAAGACGUCGUUCGAUUUUGACCGUUCAUUUUGUACCCGCUUGAUAAACUUUAUUAUGAUUUCGAAAAAUUACAAAAUUUAUUUUCUAAAUGUUUCAAAUACUCUAGAUCAUAUUUAACGGAGUGGAUCGUCGAUUCGGAAGCUGAAUCAUUGAAAACAACUUAUAAGUAUGAAGGGCUCUUCAAAAUAAAGACUCUAAUCAAUCAAUCACAGAAGCUAUAGUCAUAUAUAUCUAAAAACUUGUUAAGCAAAUUAAACUAACUUAUGGAAAUAACGAAAUACGACAAAUAUUAUCAAACACGACAUAUCAUUACUACCCCCAGCGAGUCCACCAAAAAAUACCAUUCUUAUAAGCAGUUGAUGUGCUAACAAUUUCAAUUUCAGUGGAACAUGCAUUCGUUGCAACAGGUAAAAAUUCAAGCAAACGAGCUACAUAACGUAAAGAUCGGUUUCGAGUUUAUUUACGCAAGCAAUAUUCUAAAAAGCGUAUUGCCAGCGCAUCAGCAAUCCCUGGAGGCAUUUCAUGCUUUCCCUUUUGUGUGCAACUUCAUUAUUUUGAUUCUUAUAUUCUGCAUGGGUGGGGCAUGCACAACUACAUAUGCAUGCAUGAAAGACCCAGCAAAGUAAAAAAUUCAAGACUCAAAAACUCAAAAUAGCAUUGGCAUGCACUUAAUACUUGGUUUCCAUUUUCUUAAUUCCCCUCCUUGACCAACUUCUAUUUAUGUACAUCACUUCCCCCUCAAUCAUCUUAAAUUUUGCAUCCUCUCCUACUCCAACAGCAUUUGACACCACAGCUGGUGAAUCGUCGGGGCUCGGCGGUGCCGUGCGGUAUCCCCACCGCCAUCUUAUCGCCUCCACCGCCCCAUCAUUGCUGAGUACACUGCAAGGAAAAUAAAUGCAACAAUGCACUGAUCAUGAAGUACUCCUUGCUAUUAGUAGAUAGAGUUUUGAAAGGGUGUAUCCAUUUCGGGGUUUUGCGUGUUUUCGUGGUGGGAUUUGGAGCCUAUAAAGAUGGCCCUCGGCGGUGCUCGUUUUCGCUACAUCAUUUCGUCGAACACUUUGGGGCGAUUCGGUCUUGCGAUGGGCGAAGGCGCGAAGAGGAUUUUGCUUGUGGAGGAUACUGAGGUGAAUAGGGUAAUGGCUCCUUUGUGCUGUUCUUUCGAUUGAUUUGAUUGAUUUGAGUCGUAGUUCUUUCUUAUUUCGAUUCGGGGUUUGUUGAAAUUGAUGGCUCGGUUAGUUAUCAUCUUGGAAAAAGGUGUUCGGAACAGCUAAGCUUAGUAAAAUCAAUCUCGAAUCGAGCAAAACCGUUGAUGUGAUUGAUGGAAAUGCUUUUGAUUGAAAGAAUUGAAAGUUGGGAGGGUGUCAAUCACUUUUUGAAAUUGCCCUACUAGUAGUACUCCAGAAGGGUACAGAUCAAAUCCCGUAAAUAUGCCGUGGUUCUUGAAAUAGCUAGAAAUUUUUGUACAACAACACCGCCCUAAGCGCGUAUAUGUGCGGAGCGCUAAUUGCGUUUGUACGAAUUUGGUUUCGGAUGCAGGUGGUGGUGAGGAGGCUGGUGAGGGAGCUGAAUGUGAGCUUGGAGGAGGCGGAGAACGGGCAGGCGGCGGUGGACUUGAUCAGGGGAGGGCGGACGUACGAUCUCAUCCUCAUGGACAAGGAGAUGCCCGUCGUGGACGGCCACGAGGUAUUGCGGUUCUCACUGUGUCACCCUUUUUUUUUUUUUCUCUCGUUUAUCUUUCGAAUCCAAUUUACGCAAACUAAUUCAGCUAAAGUUUGUAAAAUUCGACCGUUGGGCCUCCAAGUCGUCAAUCUUUCAAUUGAAAACAAACUCUCAUUUCAAUCCUUUUCAACUAGUUUCGUUCGUGCCGAAAUAUAAUGCUUCUUUUGAGUUGAGUGGAUUUGUCAAGGCCAAAUUGUAACCGGAAAUGUCGAUUAAGUUACAGAUUCUGAAAACUCAAAUUUGAGAGAUUUGUAAGCCAAUAUGCCCAAUUGAACUGUUCACAAAUGUAAUACUUUUCUGAAUUUUACAGAUUCACCUGGUUUUGCCAUUCUUAAACCUUUAUUUUUUGGUUAAUUUUGAUGGUUAUUAAAACGACAGGCGACGCGACAGAUUCGUUCCCUGGGGGUGACGACGCCGAUCGUGGCCUUGUCCGGCGACAGCCUCGAAUCUGACAGAGAUCUCUUCCUCCAAGCCGGAGCUGACGAAUUCCAACCUAAGGUAUGCAAUUGUAGCCAUAUACAUACAUGAUGAAUCAUAAAUUUUGAGUUCAUCUUCUUUGUAAUUGCGAAUUUUAUUAUUGAUCAAAUCUAUAACUAUGUAACUUCAUUAUCUGAAGAACAUUUCUGUCAGAUGCUCUUAUUCUGUUUUUCUUUUCUGAUUUAAUGUAACUGCUUCUCUGGGUAUUAGAUGAUUCCACUUUUGACUCUAGUUUUUCUAAUCCUCUUUGUGAGCAGCCACUUACAAGGGACAAGCUGAUCAACAUUUUUUCCAGGUAUGGAUUGGACUAUGACUAACCAACAAUUCCUAUGAUGGAUUGUAACAAGCCAAGUACAUAGCAAAGUAUUUCUUUUUUUUUUUCUUUUUUUUUUGGUUUUUUUAAAGAUCAAUAGAAACCAUUGCAUAAGAAGUUUAUGGUUGUGUAUGUUUAGUAUUUUGAGGUCCAAAGACUUUUUAAACUGGACCUUUGUGGUGAAGGAAAGGAGUAUUGUAAAGUAAAGGUUGUGUAUUAUGUGAAUAUGUAAUUGUAUAGGUACUCAUGUGCAAAAUUACCUUGUAAUCUCUUUUGGCUGAUCAUUUCAAUGUAAAUAUUUUCAUAGUUAAGUAAUAUAAUUUUUUUUUUUAAUAAAUCAGGAGGCUAUCACUUACGUACACAUUUUGUUUAUGUUUGAAGCAUGACUUGAAUCCGAGUUUAAAACCGGACAUUUUACGAUUCUUUAUUAUUUAUUUUCAUGUUUAUAAAAGAGGACAAUAAGGGCAUGUUUAGUUCGCCUAUUUUAGAUUUUAUAAUCGAAAUGAGAUUCGUUGAUUACGAUAAAUGUUGUUUGUUUUACAGAAAUCAGAUUCCGAUUCCUAUUCCACUCGAAAUGGAAAUAGUCAAAUUCAUAUACAGCUCAAUCUGAUUUUGAACUCCGGAUUGAUCCAUUCCAGAGGAAAUCAUCCAAAAUCCUCUAUUAUAUACACCUCCCCCCUCUCCCUUUCUCUCUCUUAAUGAAAAUCUCCUUGCAAAAUCGUAGAGUCUAAUUCCGAUUUUUGUUUCAAUAAUAAACCAAAUAUUUUCGAAUAAUUCGUAAAUAAGUAUUCGCCGCACUUUCAACUCCCAUGUGUUUUAAUACAAAUCAUUCUAGUCGAUUAAAUUGGACAUUUUAUUAAGAUCCACAAAUCGUAAAACUCACGAAAUUUAACAAUCGGGGAUUAAUUUAAUAAGAUUAUUAUUAAUUUAAUUAUCCGAACAAAAUGUCCGAACGUACAUCUUACACUCCAUCAUCUAAAAGAUUUUCUUGUAAAAAAAAUAAUAAUAAUAAGACAAAUGGGUAAAUCUGGACACAUUUCUCAAAACCAGAUAAAAAAAAAGAAUUUCCAUACAUCAUAAUUUUGACCUAUCUACACACCUCUCUCUCUCUCCAAACGAAAGAAAGAAAGAAAAUAUUAAUCUCGUUAUGUUUAAGAAAGAAAAUAUUGAUCCCGUUAUAUAUGUUUCUUCUGCUUCUUCAGCAUAUAUUAUAGAAUGCAUGUAUGUAUUGCAUGCAUUCUUUGUUUUUUUUUUUACCCUCCCUCUUUCCCCAUAUUAUCUUUGUUGUGUAUAUAUGUAGCUGUUAGUUAGUUAUUACCGGCGGCGGUGGCGGUGCCGAGGGCGGCGAAACCGCCGCCGCGCAUCAUCUGCUUGAACUCGGCGAAGUCGACGCGGCCGUCGCCGUCCUUGUCGACCUGGUGGAUCAUCCGGCGGCAGUCCUCGACGGUGCGGCCCUGCUUCAGCCCCAGCGACGCCAGCACCGACCGCAGCUCGUCCACCGUGAUGAACCCGUCCCCGUUCUGGUCGAACACCUUGAACGCCUCCCGCAUGUCCUCCUCCUCCUCCUCCCCCUUCUCCUUGCCGUCGUCGUCGUCGCCAUCGCCAUCGUUGUUGGCGUUCUUAGUGUUGUUGGAUUCGUUGUCGGCCAUGAUGGAGUCGUAGAGGGCGCCGAACUCGGCCAUGUCGACGCAGCCGUCGCCGUUGGCGUCGAUCUUGGCGAUCAUGGCGGCGAGGUCGUCGUCGGGGAUGAAGAUGCCGAGGUUGCGCAGCGAGUCGCCCAGCUCCUUGCGCGUGAUGCGCCCGUCCCCGUUCCGGUCGAACAUCCGGAACACCCGCCGCAGCUCCGACGGAUCCCUCGUCGACGACGCCGACGACGACGACGAAGACGAAGACGACGACGCCAUCAUCCGUCGACGUCGUCGUUAGCGGCCGGUACCGGCGACGCCGAUUAUGUCAAAAAAAUCAAUCCAAGAAUUCGAAGGAAGGGGGUGGUGGUGGUGGUGGUGGUGAUGAAGGAGAAAAGGGAAAUUCCGGGUCGGGGUGAGGGAAAAGAAGAGAGCGGUGGGGAGAAAUAUACGGCGAGAGUGGUGGAGGAGGGAGUGGGAAUUUUAAAUUUUAAAUUUUAAUUAAAGAAUAGAGGCGGAUUCUACGCGUGAGGAGAAGGGAGAAAGAAGGAAAGGGCCGAGGAUGGGGUGUUUUUAGUUAAUUAUAUAUAUAUAUAUAGCUCCCCGCGUCCCCCAGUCCCCACGCGGUUAAGCCGUCGAGGGACUGAAAAGUAAUUAGGAAAAACUUCGUGUGCUUUCUGUGAAUUAUCGCAUAUUUAAUUCUUUGUUAUUUUAGGAGCAACGCUAUUCAGUUAUCCCAAAGAACGUGUACACCAUACUGACCAUCCUUGGUAUAAGCGGCAAAGAAUUUGGUAUUUGGUAUUCGAGAUUUCAAGUUUGAAUUCUAGUUGAAUUACAUUUUUAGUUAAAUUUACUUCUGAAAAAAAUAAACGAAUCGGAUAGCAAAAUUUUUUUUAAGAAAACAAUAAGGAUUGACCGCCGGAAGGUCCAACUUAUUGAUUUCUAUGAGGAUUGACCAUUGGAGGGUCCAACUUAUUGAUUUUUAUGAAAUAUAUCAAACGCACUUGCACAACACGACACAUGACAGAUCUAACGAAAGAAGUAAUGUCGAUAACUGCAAAAAAUAAAAAAGAAAAUGAUAAAAUAUUUAAAUUAUACUUUUAAAACCGCAUAAUGCUAAAGUAAAAUAAAAAUUAGUAAACCACAAAGAUGUAUCCGAAGGUUUUUUGAAAAGUUAUAAAAAAAAAGGUGCAUCACACAUGCAUAGGUAGUCUCUGUACUAUUUUGGUAUCACCACUUAUAGAGUUCGGCUAUUAUACUCUUAUGAGUAUAUAUGUUUUUGUAUUCUUAUUAAUAUAGAUAUUUUUUUAAAAUGCGGAGGUUUGUUUUGUUAUAUCCUUCUUAUCCUAUAUUUCACAGACAAAUUUUUUUUAAUCAAUUCUUAAAAAAAAAUUAUAAUUUACUAAAUCAUUUUGUCAAAAUUUUAAUUGAUAAACUAAUCUUAUCUUAUCCAACUCAAUGUCACAGUGAAAAGAGAAUUGAAAAAUGAUAAAUCAUUCACUGUUUUUAAUAAAAACUUAAAAUAUUACUGAUUAAAAACUUAAAAUAUUACUGUCAUUUCUAGGAUUUAUAUGUGGGUUGUAAUAAUUUUUAUGAAAUUAUUAGGAUUGUAUGUGAAUUAUAGAAAUUUUUAUUUAGUUGUUAUUAUCAUAUUAUUAAGUUUAGUUAGUAUGUUUUAUACGAUUCUUUUAAUUAUACACUUAUUAAAGUAAUUAGUAUAUAUUUUGGGCUGGGGCUACUAUACUCAUAUGAGUAUAGAGCCCUUUAUACUCAUAAGUUUUCAGCCAUUGGGAUGAAAAAAUAUGCGGUUCGAAUGAGAAUGGUUAUGGUUAGGUUAAUAGUGGAUUCCUUAGGAUUGAGUGGGUGGUUAGUUGAAUAGUAUAAUUUAACGGGUGAAAAUAAUUAAAAGGUAAAUCUAACGGCAAAAUAUUUAUGAGUACAUGAGGCUCUAUACUCAUAAGAGUAUAGUAGCCGGACUCUAGAUUUUGAAGCCAAAACAUUAACGACCGACUAAAAUCAAACAAACUGGGCGGUUGGAUACUAAAAUCGAAAUAUUUGAAAGGUUGGAUAGCUGUUUCAAAAUGAUCCAUAAAAUCACGUAAAUUUUAAAAAGUUAACAAAGUUACAGAACCAAGCUAUGAGAUCGGAAUAGUACAAGAACUCCCCAGACAUUUUUAGAAAGCCCUUGAGAAUAUGAAAGGAGAGAAAUCACUCUAGUAGUAAAAUCGAAAUAUUUGAGAGAUUGAAUAGCUGAUUCGGAAUGAUCCAUGAAAUCAGAUGAAUUCUAAAGUUGGCAAAAGUUGCAGAACCAAGUUGUGAUAUUGGGAUAGUACAGGGACUCCCUAGACCAUUUUAGAAAGCGCGUUGAGAAUAUGAAAGGAACUAAAUCUUAGGGACCGUUGGAAGCGGAUCGGUGGAAAGAGUAGGUGGAAGUUGAAGGGGGCGGCAGCGGAGAGCCGUUGGAUCUGAAGUGGUCGGUGGGAUGGGAAUACACGUGGCGAAAGAUGAGGGGCGACAGGGAGAUGGGGCACCUUUUUUUUAAAAAAAAUGGCCGUUGAAAUGUGGUACCACGUUCCUGUGGAGCAUUUUCCUUUUUUUUUUUAAAAAAAAGGCCGUUAAAAUGUGGUACCACGUUCCUAUGGAGCAUUUUCCGAUUUACGUGGGCUUUUUUUUUUUGUAUUUAAUUUCCUCAAAAUUUGAUUUUUUAUAAAUCACGUAAUAUUAAAAUAAAAAAGUACGAAACCACAUGAAAGGUUUUUAAAGUUUUCCCUAUAAAAAAAAGACGCACAGAACUUUUUCAAAAGAGUCAGCAGAAUGUAUAUAUAUAUAUUUUUUGAGAAAGAGAUAGCAUACUAUCCGCUUCAUUCAUAAGAUAGAUGAAUUAGGUUACAUGAGUGAGGUAGCGGACGGCCUUUGGCAACGCGUAAAAAAAAAAUAAAUAAAAAAUUAAAAAAAAUUUUAAAAAAAUCAUUAGACUUUUAGUGUUAUUUUACAAAGAAAAUUAUCCCCACAGGUUCUUUAACUGCUUGAUCUUGGAGAUUGCUAGUAGGGGGUUUGGUUGGAUCCUUUUAAAGAUCACACAGAAAAUGUACAUCCUGUUUUACAAAGAAAAUUAUCCUCACAGGUUCUUCAUGAAAGAUUUAGGGGAAGCAUUCUAUUUUUGGAGAUAAAGGUCUAUAGAGAUAGAUCUAAAAGGAUGCUAGGCCUCUCACAGAAAAUGUAUAUAGAAGAGGUGCUGAAGAGGUUCGGCAUGGAAAACUCCAAAAGGGGACUUUUACCUCUUAGACAUGAAAUUUAUCUCUCUAAGAAAAUGUGCCCUAAUACAUUUGAAGAGAUUCAACGUAUGAGUAAGAUCCCUUAUGCAUCAGCUAUAGGGAGUCUUAUGUACGCCAUGCUAUGUACACGACUUGAUAUCACGCUUGCUGUGUGUGUCACAAGUAGAUAUCAAUCUAAUCCAGACGAGAAGCACUGGACUGCUGUGAAGAAUAUACUCAAGUACUUGAGAAGGACUAAGGAUAUGUUCUUGGUUUUUGGAGGAUGAGAGUUGAAAGUACAAGGAUAUACUGAUUCAGACAUUAUGUCUGAUGUUGACGAUAGAAAGUCUACGUCAGGAUGUGUGUUCUUAUACAAUGGUGGCUCUGUGUAUUGGAAAAGUUCCAAACAACUAAUUAUUGCUGACUCUACUAUGGAAGUAGAGUAUAUCGCCGCAUCUGAAGCUGCAAAGGAAGCCUUCUGGUUCAAGAAAUUUGUCGCAGAACUAGGUGUGAUGCUAUCGGAUGCCAUACCACUAUAUUGCGACAACAAUGGUGCCAUAACUCUAGCUAAGGAGCCCAGAUCUCAUCAGAGGUCAAAGCAUAUAGAGUGGCGGUUUCAUAUUAUACGCGACUAUCUCGACAAAAAUACAUCGAGAUGUAGAGAGUAGACUCCACGGAUAACGUGGCAGACCCAUUGACUAAACCACUUAGCCAGCAGAAGACUGAAGUCCACCUUGAGAAGAUGGGGCUUAGGUAUAUGGCUGAUUGGCUUUAGUGCAAGUGGGAGAUUGUUAGAUGUAUGCCCUAGAAGCCAACGAGGCCGACACAUAUAUUCUUUUUAGGACAUAAAUUUGUAUUUGACUUUUAAAUAUUAUGAAUAAAUUUGGGUUAUUAUUUUCAUUCAUAUUGUGUAUGUGUCCAUGAAUCGUCCAAGAAAUUAAUAAGAUGAUGACAUAUAUUCUCAAGUAUUGAGAAUUUGAGACAUGUGCCGUUGGUGAUUAAUUUCUAAAUGCUCCCGAUCAAUGGAUCAUCACGGGGACGGUGAUUGAUCCGGUGAGAUUGGUGCAUAGGUCGCUUCCCUUUCUGGGUAGACGAGUCUCGAGCCGACAGUGUGGGAACACUGAAGCGAAUAUGCAGGUGGUUGUUGGAGAACAAGGGUACCGAGCGUGACCAACGCGAGAAGUCACUUGGAUGUCUACUCACUCGUCAGUGACUUACUCAAUUGUUGCAGUAGUGUGACUGGUCCUUUGACCUGCGGUGCCUUGGCUGUUCACAAUGAGGUUACUGUAGUUUGACUGUACAUACACUUGGUCCCUAGCCAUUCGGGUCCUUGCGGUGCAUGUUGGCUGCAGUAGGUUCAUAGUAGGAAUAGGGUGCGCACUUAGAUGAAAUCUAUCUCCCUUGGUAGAUAGGGGUGUUAGUCCUAUGUGAUUUAUGAGACCGAGUUUAGAAGACCUUGGCCAGGGCAGAGUUAAUAGCGGAAAAGGGUUUCCGAUAUUAGAAACUCGAGUCGAAUAAAUUUAAUAUAUGACAGACGAUGGGGUUUGACGAGUUAUUCCAUAACUUCCGUCUAGUCGGGACUCAUGAUAGAAGAAUUGUAUCACAUGGUAACUGCACCAAGAGGUUCAGUAUUCCAUUCUACUGGAAUGCCACUACAUGCUGCUAGGCGUCACUGGUGGAUUGUGAGACUCAUGAAAAUUAUCUAGAUGAUCAAUAAUUCUUAUUGGGCUGAGUUGGAAUUGUUCUAAUCCAUUGAAAGGAGUUUCAGUGAUAUUGUUGAUAGUGAUCAAAAUAUAUCUCACUACCAGAUAGAAUAGAACCUAUGGGGUCACACACAUAAGAGGUUAUGAUUGAUCGGAUAGCUAGAUUGCGAUUAUUGAAUCGCCGGAGGACCUAAUUGUCAAUAUAUUGAUAAUUGGACUAAUUUGUAAUUGUUACAAAUUAGUGAUAUUAAAGUGCAAAUAUUACAAUAGAGAACUUACUAAUAGUUAGUAAAUUAUAAGAGGACUUAUGUGCAAAUGUUGCAUUAUUAAUUUGAUAAGAUCAAAUUAAUAUAAAAUUCAAGUCGAAUCAAAUUAGGAUUUGAUCGAUCUAACCAAUUAAGGAAAAGAUAAAUUUAAUCUAGAUUUAUACUUAUCCUUAAUUGUCAUUAUAUUAUUAGGAAUAGGAUUAUAUUCUUAUAUAUAAUAUACGGGAGUUUUUAGAAAACCCUAGCCGUCAUCUAUCAUCUCUUCUCUCUUCCAUCUUCUAGCAAGAAAGACGUCCUUUUGCAAGGGAGCUAGCACCCCGGUGAGGACAUCGAUCAAAUCAAGAAGCUCGUGUGGAUACCUAUAGAGGCCGGAUGCGUGUGCGGCUUUAAGAGAACCGAAUUCCAUAAUCAUCAAAUUGAGGCGAAGAUUUAUCCGCGAAUAAGGUAAAGAUUCGAUCUUACUUUUCUCCUUUAAUCUUAAAGAACAUGAGAGAUCCUAAUUGCGUGGUUUUUGAGAUUUAAUCUCGAGAGUUUUCAAAAAUCAAAUUUGUUUGAUUUCUUUUUCCACUGCGUUUUUACCAUACGCAAUUUUCUAACAAUACGAAGCCUCCAGAUUUUACUUAUUCGUUCAUCCCUCGUACCCCCGUCGUUCAGCCCUAAGUAGGUCGAUUUCACCGUAAAUCUACCAUCAGGAUCCCAAUGCCAAGUCACGCUAUCCGGUUCUUUGCUCUACUCUAAUCUCCGAACUCCUAUCCAUUAGUACAGAAGAGCUAGCUCUCGUACCGAGACUAGUGUUGUUGACACCUCUCAAGAUCUUGUUCCAUUUCCACCCAUCGCUCGUCGUACAACCACUAACUCGCAUGUUUUUGCAUUCUACCAUAUCAUACAAUUCUGAGAAUAGUGAUUGUAGCGUGACUUCUCCGCACCAACGGUCCGACCAAAAAUCAAUGUUACUCCCGUUUUCUAGCUUAUAUGAUACUCCCCAUUUAAAGACUUCACUCUGGCUUAGAACUUCUUUCCACCAAUAAGAGGAAGGUCUAAAGGAUUUUCCCUCUCUCAGGGAUCUUCUUCUAAUGUAAAAUAAAUCAUGAAUGAUCUUAUUCCACUGCAGCUGUGGGAUCGUAAGCAGAAUGUAUAUUUUGAGUUCAGAAAGUUGAGGUUAUAAUUUCAGACAGCAAGAUGCUGUCUACAAGAUAACUACUGCUUCUACUAAAAGCACUUCUCAUACAGUAAAAUAAAAGUUUCUAUGUGAUGUCCUAAAAUUAUAUAUAUAUAUAUAUAUAUUUUAAAAAAAAUAAAAUUACUUGUAAUUAAGCCUAUAUGCAUACAUAAAAGAGGAUUCAAAUUCAUAAUCUGUUAUCCAAAAAAAAAAGAUAUUAAAUAACUGUUCUAAAUACGACGCUGUUCUGAACUUUUCUCGUUGGUAGCUUUAUCUUCUCCUACAAUUCUAUGCAUAUGAAUGUUUCAUAACUUAUAUUAUACUUCAAGGACAAUGGAAACAAAGCUUAUAUCAACUGGAAAAGCUGGAAUUGAGCUGGGUGAGGGUUGUGCAGCAACCUGUAAUUAAUGGUUGGAUUAAGAAUCUUGUGGACAACUUUGCUUUGUGUGAGUGUGAGAUGUAACAGUCUAGAGUUGACUCUGUGCAUUAUCACAGGGGAAAUAUAUAAAAUGUUAAUAUAUUUCUAGACACCACUCUUAUCGAAUGGAUAAACUGCUUAUUUAAAAAAUAGAUAUAAGUUCAUAUAUUAAAAAAAAUUAGACCAAUUUUAUAUUUGAAAAAAAAAAUUGGUUCUUUUUUUUUUCUACCAGUUGGGAAGUCCAACGUUUGGCGUGAACUGUUUUAGGAGCAUAAUGAGACUCUGCCCUAAACUCUUCGGGCAAAAUAACCGUUCUUAUUCUUACUAUGUUAGCUAUUCAUAUCGGCAGUACCUAGUGCAUGCCUUUUGCCUCCGAAAUCUGAUUCAAAUCCAAUAUAGCACCUACGGUACGGGUACAUAAGAAAUGUAUCGAAUCGAUUCUUUUUAAUGAAUAGAUCCGAUCACAACUUCGAAUAUGGAAUUCAAAAAGUCAGGUUUCUUGAAAGCCGAGGCCUGAAUCACCUUGCAUUUCUCUAGUUAACCUGUCGCGGGAUAAGAAGGUCCCUGACGUUCAAAACCUUUCUCCCAAAGCUUUUUCUAAUUCGACUUUUGGCAGGCCAUGAUGCAGAUAAAAGCUUGUGCGUUCUCUCCUUGGAUUGCUCUUGAGAAUAAAGUAAAUAGUGUUUAGAUUGUUAAAUUGGAACAAGAAGAAUAAAAAUCAUAAUAUUAAAUUAAUAUUAUUUUAUCUCAUUAAUUAACAUCAAAAUAUUAAUUAAAAAUAAUUUAAUAAAUUAAUAAAUUCGUUAGCUAUGAAUAUUGCAUAAGAUAAUAAAAAUAUACUAAUUAAUUAAUUAAUUAUAAAAAUAAUUUAACUUUCUAAUUAAUUACUAAAUUAUUGUCGUUAGAUAACUAGCAAAAAAAUUAAUUAGAUUAAUAAAAAUAUUAAUGAUUGAUCAAUAUAAAUAAUAAUUUAUGGAUAAACACAUUAAAUUAUUAAUAAAUAAUUAUAAGUAAUAAAUUAAUUAACUACUUUAUUAUUUAAGUAAUGGAUAAUAAUUUAAAUAUAUUAAUUAGAUUCAUUAAUGAUUUAAUAUCAAAACUAAAAUUAAAUUCAAGACUUUAAUUAAUCUUGUUUCCACUUGGGAACAAACUUGUUCUAGAGAAAAGGGUGGAACGACAGUUCCAAACUUAUACCAGAUUAUACCAGUUUAUUCUAGAGAUCCAAAAACUACCAGAUUAUACCAGUUUAUUCUAGAGAUCCAAAAACUACUAUUCUCGAGUACAAAAAUUUACGUUUUAGAACAAAGGGCGGAACAAGGGCUCAUUCCCCCUUGUUCCCAAAUCAAACGCUUUCCUAGACAAUAUAAUGUCAGAGUUAAUUCUAAAUUUGCUUGUUCUAUAAAAUUGUGGAUUCAAUUCUUAUUUUUGAUAUUUAACGAAUUUGUAUGUGAGCGAGGGUUCCAACAUAUAUUUCUAAGCUCGUUUCCUAUCAGAUCGAUCUUUUGAGUAGUAGAAAAUAUAUAUUUAGCCGUUUCGAAAUAGGGCCCUCAAUUUGUAACUUUUGUUUAUCAUUUAGAGUUGAGAUAGUUUUCUAAAAAAUAACUGAAGUCAAUAAGACUAGUAAAAUUAUCAACAAAUUUGAUCAAAGCAUAUUCAAUUUACUUGACUAGAAUCAUUGUUAUUUGACUCUGAUCUGUUCUCAAAAUGUCGAGGUAUUCCGAAUUAUCACCCUCACCAUCCUUUUGUGCCAAAAAAGUUCCAUGCAUUUUUACCGAAACCAUACUUUGUUUCAACUUUAGUAGAAAGGGAAAGAUGCGACCACUACUUAUUAAAAAUAAAUAGCAUAUUUGAUCCACAACCUAUAAGAAAGCUAACAUAACAUUUUAAAUCUCAAAAUUUAAUUUAUUAUAAUUUUAAUUCGAACUUUAAAAAUUAUUGUAUUAAAAUCCUACACUCCAAUUUACUUGACUAAAUAUUACCAUAUUAUUCUUUCAGAACACUUCUAUAUUUGUAAUUUGAUAAAAUUUCACCCAUUAAAUUAGACUCUAGAACUAAAUUACAAUAAUUACAAAAAUACAAACUAAAAAGGAUAAUAAAUUUAAAUUUAAAGACGCUUGACUUAUAGUUUGAGAAUCAAAAGCACAAUUUAUCCAAUCAUAUAUGGCCACCAAAGAUAUCGUCCCCGAGUCGACGGUUGAGUUUGACCUUUUUCUUUUUUUUUUUUAAGUCCGUGAUAAGCUACCGAACAUAUUCCAAUUCAUUUUUUUUUAAAAAAUGAAGGUUUGUUUUUGAAAACGUCCUAUAUUUUAGAUUUAUGAUUUAAGUUGUGAUUUAUAAUUUGGUUGUGACAUGCUAGCACUUGCAAGGAUUUUGGUCAAACCCGUGAUGGCAACAGAUGUCAACGGUCGGAGGACCGCAACAUGUUUUCUCUGACUCAUUUGCUGUGCUUGUUUGAUUUGUGUAGAUACCCCUACUUUUUCAAUGUUUCUAAGUACUACUUGUUGGGAAAAGAAUCCAAUAGAGUACUGAAGCGAUAACACGCCUGCGAUAAUAAUAUAACACAAAAAAAUUAUACCAACUGUCCCUAGAGCAAGUGAUAAAAAAUUUGAUGGUUGGUACCCGAGAUCCAAGUUCGAAUCCUAGUUGAUUCACAUUUCCAACUAAGUUUAUUUCUAAAUAAAAUAAACGAAGCGGACAGCGUGCUACCUAUCUCUCUCAAAAAAAAAAAAUUAUAGCAAUUUGUAUAAUUAAAAAAUGGCUAAAUUACAGAAAACUCUCCUGUAAUAACCCGCUUUUUCACUUUCCCCCCCUGACAUUUAAAAACCUACACUUUGCCCCCUUGUAAAAUGAAAAAUGUUCACAGGGAGGUCACGGUGUGUAAAAUGACCAUUUUGCCCCUUGCCAUUGUUGUCUUCUUCCUGAGCUUCCUCAGCCGCCCCUUCGAUCCGCCGCUAUUUCUACCUCAAUCGGCCACGAUUCCUCUCCAAUUUCUUCUCCACCUGCUCCCCUUCUCCUCCUACACCAUCGUCGCCCAUCGAUUUUGGCGACAGUAGGGAGGAUACUAAGAUGGGUGUUGAUGGAGAGGUAGGCAGGGACAACGAAGGCGAAGGCGAGGUGGCGGAGGAGGACGAAAGGGAUGUGGGCGAGGGCGAAGCAGUGGAGGACGGCGAGGCGGCGAGCCGGCGAGCCGGAGGGAGCGAAGCAUCAGAGAAGAGGCAGAGGGGUAUUUUCGGUAUAAAAAAAUAUUUUUUAACAGAACCCCUAACGGAACCCUAACGGUAGGGGUGAAGUGCACAUUUUUUAUUUUACAAGGGGGCAAAGUGUAGGUUUUUAAAUAUCAGGGGGGAAAGUAAAAAAGCGGGUUAUUACAGGGGGGUUUUCUGUAAUUUAGCCUUAAAAAAUUUAUGUAAUUUGACCGAAACCUACGCCCACACAGAACCUACUAUAUCUAGCACAAGUAAUAAAAAAAACUUAGUGGUUAAUACCCAAAAUUUAAAAUUUGAAUCCUAAUUAAUUCAUAUUUUCAGCUAAAUUUAUUUCUAAAUAAAAUAAACGAAACGAGUACCAUGCUACCUAUUUAUCAAAAAAAAAAUUUCUUAACUCCCAAAAAUAUUAAUAUAAAAAAAAAACCUCUCCAAAAGAACACUUAUUGAAAGUGGAGAGGAGAAAAAUUGAUUUCGCCAUAAACAAUCAUUUCUGUUGUUUGAUCCGCCGUAAAUAAGUUACGAUUAAAAUUCGAGUUAACAUAAAAUGACAUAUGGCAUAAGCCGAAAGUCAAUUACAGUGAAAAAAAAUAUAAAAAAAUAAAAUAAUAUACUAAAUAAAAUAAUUAUAUUUUAAUAUAUUUAAUUAUGAUAUUAAUUAUUUUUUUAUUUCGUUGACAUAUUUAAAAUAGGCCAAUUUGCAUAAAAAAUUCACUUAUUUUGGGCUUUUGCAAAUUCGGGCCACCUUUUUCGUUUUUGCAGAUUCGGUCCGCUUUUUCGUCCGCCAGACCAAAUGCCCCUCGUAUACAAAAGCCGCCCGCGUAUUUCUCGACAUACGUAUACUACCCUGUCCUACGGUCUGGCGCGCAUUAAAUACGCCGUUUCCGCCUUACGCAAUCUCGCUCAUUUCUCGGAACCUGGACCACAUCCGCCCCUCUAUUCGCUGGCCCUGCUGUUUGCUGUUCGGCUUUAAGACUUUAAUACAAUUUCUAAAGAUAAAUGACAAAAACUGCACUACCCGCAACAGAGAUAAUAGUGAAACGCAAAGUAGCAACGCCAGAAAAAAUGGUGCAACUGCCCUUCUAACAGUGCAACUGCGCUUCGACGCUGCGCUUCCUCUUGCGAGGAAUGCCCUUGUCGAUUCACCUCCUUCACCAAAGGUAGUGUCUCCGUAAAGGGGAAUGCAUCUGAAGAACCCAUAUUUAAACAAAACGAAUCGUCCGCUGACCAACCCGCCGAUGCCUCUUCGCCUUACUUAACCGAAUAUAACGUACACGUCACUCUUCGUGCUUGCCACUAGCAUUAAAUGCGACAGGGAUUAACAGUGCGACGUGUACGGCGAUUAAUAGUGCAACGUAACGUAAAAGACUACAACUGUGAUUGUAAUGGUGCAAUGUGGUCGACAGAAUAAUUCAAUGGUUUUAGAAAGCGGAGGCGUCGGAGAAGAGACCGAACAACAAACACUAGGUGCGGAGUAGGAGGAGGCUCCACCACCUCUUUAUUGCUGCUGCCUCCGUGGCGCUUCACCUCCGCGCGCUAGGGAUAAUAAUGCAAGGCGAAGGUUCUACGGCAGGAGAAAUGGUGGAACAAACCUUCUAACAUGCAACCGUAGCCUCGUUCCAGUGCAACCUCUCCAUAACCAGUCAAAAUUUUACUUAUUUUAUUUCAUAAUGUAAUCUUAAGCUAAUAGUGCAAUGAAAGGACAUGGGGGCCGUCGAUAAUACCGGGGCGGAGUGGGAGGAGGCUCCACGAUGUCUUUAUCGCCGCCGCCGCCGUGUCGCUUCACCUUAGCGCGCCAGGAAUAAUAGUGCAACGCGAAGAUUCUACGGCAACAGAAAUGGUGCAACGACUAGUCUAAUAGUGCAUCCGUAGCUCAUUCCAGUACAAACUCUCCAUAACCAGUCAAAUAUUACUAAUUUUAUUUCAUAAUGUAAUGUUAAGCUAAUAGUGCAAAUGAAAGGACAUGGGGGCCGUCGAAAAUACCGGGCCGGAGUGGGAGGAGGCUCCACCACCUCUUUAUCGCCGCCGCCACCGUGUCGACUUCACUUCCGUGCGCCAGGGAUAAUAGUGCAACGCGAAGGUUUUACGGUAGGAGAAAUGAUGCAACGGCCCUUCUAACAGUGCAUCCGUAGCAUCGUUCCAGUGCAACCUCUCCAUAACCAUUCAAAAUUUUACUAAUUUUAUUUCAUAAUGUAAUCAUAAGCUAAUAGUGCAAAUGAAAGGGCAUGGGGGUCGUCGAAAAUACCGGGGCGGAGUGGGAGGAGGCUCUACCACCUCUUUAUCGCCGCCGCAGCCGUGUUGCUUCACCUCCGCGCGCCAGGUAUAAUAGUGCAACGCGAAGGUUCUACGGCAGGAUAAUGGUGCAACGACUAGUUUAACAGUGCAUCCGUAGCCUCGUUCCAGUGCAACAUUUCAAUAACCAAUCAAAAUUUUACAUUAGGAAGAUUUCAUGCACUCUUUUACCGCAUUUUGUAUUAUCGUUAAAAUCAAUGAAUAUUUUUAUACUAUAUUAAUAAAGAGAUCCCUUUCUUUACAUUGUUACGUCGUGGAUCUAAAUACAUCUGUAUAAUUCAUUAUUUUGUUGCACCGCGUUGAGCAUUUUUGCACUAUUACAGUCGAUUUUGCACUAUUACUUUCGUCCCAAUAUGCCAUUCUUUGUCUGUUUAACACGAUUAAAAAGUGCAACGCAUUGUAAACGAGCUCAACCAUGUUCGUUUUAGUACAAUAAUAUCAUAGUAAUCGUUCAAUGGUUUAAAGUAAUGGUGCAACGACUCGAACCUUUUUUACAGUGCAACAUUUCCCGAGGAAACUUCGUUGUGUCCGCCGGUGUCCCUUCGCCUCACUUACCGGCCACCGCCAUUUUCGCUCACCCACUCGAGUAUAAAGUUCACAUCAAUGUACUUACUCUGUCGCAAUAUUUAAUGCGACUGGCGUGUGAAAUGCUAUUCGCCAUUGCCGGUGUUUGCUAUUCGUUUCUCGCUGUUGUUUGUUUGUAGUGCUUACGUUUCAUGCUUUGUAUGGAUUCUUACACUGUUUCCUGAAUAGGUUGGCCCAUACUAGCAUCCCACUAACUUUCAAACUGCUGUUGCUCCCCAUUACCCUAUUCUAAACCUUCACUGCGAAGCAAACUGCCUUUCAACCCCCAUUUUUCCUAGCAACCGCAUAACUCUUUGUGACCACCAUCUUUUGCUUCGAAUCCAAUCGGUCAAGAAACGACCUAUCUAAAUCUAAGUAGCUUGUAAUGGCGUCGAAGUCGUCGCAUUCUACUGAUUCAUCGGCUUCCGACGGCCGCAAGGCACCUUCGCGGCCGGUUGCCAGCGGCCCCGCCGAUAGAUUCAUUGUGAAUUCGCGGUGUUUCGUCGGAGCGUACAGGAAGACUUACGCGUCUGUCGUGAAACCGCAUCAUCUCCCCAUUAUUCAGAGGACGGUAUUCGGUAAUAUCAUACACUUCCCCGACAUCACCUCAGAUAAGCCAAUGCUGGAGUUCAUCCUCCGACAUUUGAAGGAGGGUGUAGAAUUCGAAAUAGGCCCUCAAGUUAUACGCUUCACGGCCAAAGAGGUGGCAGUUCUUCUUGGAUUACCCCUGUCGGGCCAGGCUCUAGACCUAACCCUCAAUUUAAGGUCGGGUAUUCAGAAUCGGUUUCUUGAGGGGAAGAAGGCUGACCGCAAGAACCUGGAGGUGGUGUUGAAGGAGAUGUCAAAUAAGCAGGGCGAAGAGGACAUUAUCGACUUCAUCAAAUUACUUAUUCUUUAUUUUUUUUGCUGUAUUCUUUUUACCAAUACCAAUAAUCUCUGCCCCAAAGGACUGGUGGGGAUUGUAGAUUAUCUCCCCGCACUGUCACGGUACAAUUGGCCGGAAGCAGUAUACCGGCUUAUAAUUGACAGCCUAUGCUCCGCCGCGGCCAAAUUACAAGCUAAUUCGAAGCGGGUAGGAUACGUUCUUGGAUGCACCCCGCUUCUCCCAGUAAGUGUAUAUUGUUCAAGUAAUCGUGCAAGAUAAUUAUUAUGUGCUUUCAAUUGUUCAUGCGUGUACAGAUUUGUAGUGUAAUCGUGCAAAAAUAAUCUAUUGUAUGCUUAAAUCUAGUAACUGUGUGAACUCUAGUGUAAUAUUGUCUUUACAUUCAGGUGUGGAUAUACGAGCACACUGGAUAUAGAUGUCCCCUGCUUUUUCGUCGUGCAAUAUUUCCUCAUGUCCAGAGAUGGGAUACGAUUAGAUGGUCUCGUCGUUCGCGGGGAUCAUCGAGAGUGAAGGAGGAUUUUAACUUCACUACAUGCCGCCGCAGGCUCGACCUCUCCCCGGAGGAACUACGCCUGGUGGGUGUUGUGGCUCAAGUUCCACGGCGCCACCGCCGCUCAUGGUUAUUGCAUUUACCAUGUGUCUACCAAUCUUCUGCACGCGCCAAAGAAUACACCUGCGUGGAGAAAAUUUUGGGCAGCGGCGCGCGCAUACACUGUCGCGGAGUUCAACGAACACAUGGAGAAGAUUAAGGAGUUGAACCCCGAACAUUACAAGUAUGUAGUCAACCUUCCUCGGCAUAGGUGGGCUAUCCAUUGCUUCCUGGAAAGGCGUUAUUCAAUACUCACUUCCAACUGUCCCAAGACGAUAAACAGUGUAAUUCGACAUUUAAAGGGCCUUCCAAUUACCUACCUCGUCGAGGAAACACGAAAGAAAACAGCUUGUUAUUUUUACCAGAGGAAAAUUAAUGGGGAGAAUAUUACCAGUGUAGUAACACCCUAUGCAGAAAAGAUUUUAGGGAGCUCGAGGGAAGCGUCCCGCUUUUACACGCUGAAUCCUUCGACCGAUGUCCUCUUUCAGGUAUUAUCAUUUAUUUUGCCCCAUUUAAUCAGUAUAUUACACUACUUAUCAAUCGGUUACAUGUAGUCAUUACACUAUUUGUCCCACCCUUUGGACUGGCUUGUUGUUUUUCAGGUAAUUGCAGCCGACCGUACGGAUGUUAUGAAUCUUUCCAAAAAGAUAUGUUCCUGCAAGCGAUGGGACAUUGACGGCAUUCCAUGUAAUCACGCCAUGGUAGUAAUUUUAUUUAGGCUACGGGAUCCUUAUGAUUUUGUCGAUGACUGGUUCAAGACCUCGACUUAUCGCGCAACCUACAACGAUUGCGUCCCCCCACCAGAAGCAAAGAGCAAUGGCCUACAAUACCAAGUAACGUUGUUCCGCCGCGGCUGCCAAACGUCCGCAUACAACCGGGCAGAAGAAAGGUUUCGCGGCGAGAGUCUAUUGCUAACGGCUUAAUAAAGAAGCGGUGCCGGAAUUGCCAGAGAUAGGGGCACAACAAAAGGUCAUGCAAGAACCCUCCUGUGGCUAGAGUAAACCAGCCGUGCGCGACGAUAUCCGCGGGCGCACCGCAGGAAACAUCGAAAAAUCCAUACGUCUUAUUGUAAUAGUUCGAGGCUAAUGUUAAUAGUGUACAUAUAGAUAAUUUGAUUAAGUAAAUUUUUGUAAUAGUAUAAAAUAGAGGAUAACAGUUCAACAUAUUUAAAAAAUAGUGUAACGAGGAUCUCAAAGUAUUGACUGUUAAGUGAGGUUUCACUGGAACGAGACUACAGAUGCACUGUUAUAGUGGUCAUUGCAUCAUAUAUACUGCAGUAGAACCUUCUCGUUGCACUAAUAUCCCUCGGGCACAGAGGCGAAUUCGACACUGCGGCGGCGGCGGCUAGAGGUAGCGCAGCGGCGGAUAAAGAGGUGGUGGAGCCUCCUCCUACUCUGCCCUGCUAUUCGACGACCCCCAUUUUCUUUCAUUUGGACAAUAGCUUAAGAUUACAUUAAGAAAUAAAAUAAGUAGGUUAUGGAGAGGUUGCACUGGAACGAGUUUACGGAUGCACUGUUAGAAGGGCGGUUGCACCAUUUCUCUUGUAGCUCCUUUCUGUUGCAUUAUUAUCCCAGUUGCGUGCGUGCACUUAAUGUCAUUUAGCUUCAGAAAAUAUCUAAAAGUCUUAAAGCCGAACAGUAAACAGCGGGUACGGCGAAUAGCGGGGCGGAUGUGGUCCGUUUUUCAAAUAAUGAGCGAGGUUGCGUAAAGCGAAAGCGACGCAUUUAAUGAGCGCCAGACAGUAUAGCAUGGUUAGACCCAUUGUUUGGAAAUGAAAAUAAAAUAGUGCAACAGUCCUAAACAGUGCACCAAUUUCUUCGAAUUAUUGCACUAUUAUGUCAAUUGAUUUGCACUUUUACAUUCGUAAUUGGUGACCUUUACCAUACGUUGCGCUAUUUUUCCUUUCCACACGAACUCAUUGAAUAAAAGAGUGCAAAAAUAGUGUAAGAUUAUCCUAAAUACUUUAAGUCAUCCAAAAAUAGUGUAAGAUUUUCCUAAGUACUUUAAGUCGUCAAAAAACUCCGGACGCCGCCGGCGACCAUUCCACACCGCCGCCGAGCUAGUAGAUAUCUCGGCAUAUCGAACUCUAUCUCUAACGACGAUGUUCCUGCCCCGCCGACUCUUGGCCUGCAUUUGGAUGGGACGCCUUCUUUUGCACUAUUCAGCUUAAGAUUACAUUAAGAAAUAAAAAGAGUGAAAUUUUUAAUUUCAUGUAUAUUCAAAGCUCUCAUUGCAUCAUUUCCUCUAACCAUUAUAUUAUUAUUUCGACUUAUAUCUUCUUUAUUACUUCAGGCGUUAUGUUAUACCUCUCGAACGUACCAUCACAAAUUUAGUAGUACUCUUUUUCAAAUCAUUGCACUGAUAAAAAUAAAGUAUUGUACCCUUAUAAGCUUAGUUACACUCUUUUUCCUACUAUUGUACUGUUAUAGAGGGCGCUUGCACCAUUUCUCCUAUCGUAGCUCCUUCGCGUUGCACUAUUAUUCCUGUUGCGGAGCGCGGAGUAAUUCUCAAUAGCUUCAGAAAAUUUCGUAAAGUCUUAAAACCGAAGAGGAAAUAGCAGAGUGGGCGAAUAGCGGGGGCGGAAGUGGUCCGAGUUCUGAGUAAUGAGUGAGGGAUAAGAGGUUGCGUAAAGCGAACGCGGCGCAUUUAAUGAGCGCUAGACAGUACGGCAGCAGGGUAUACGUAUGUCGAGGAAUACGCGGUCAGCUUUUGUAUUCGAGAGGCAUUUUGGUCCGAUGGUCGAAAAAACGAACCAAAUCUACAAAAACGAAAAAGGUGGCCCGAAUUUGCAAAAACCUAAAAUAAGUGAAUUUUUUAUACAAUUUGGCCUUUAAAAUAUGAUAAAAAUUAAUUAGUUAAAUUUUACUACUUUAUUUAAUUUAUACAAUUAAAAUUAAUAAAAAUUAAUUAAUUAAGUAUUAAUAUUUUUUGUUUUAUAAUUUUAUUAUUGUAUUACUAUAAUUUAUGUAUAAAAAAAUAAUAUAAUUAUUUUAUAUUAAAUUUUAAAUAUAUAAAAAUAAAAUUAUAUAUUAUUUUUAUUUAUUAAAUUAUUUAUUAUUAAUAUAAUAUUAUAAUUUUAUACCAUAUACUUCUUACCAAAUUUUCAAACAAACAGUAAAACUAAUAAAACUUAACUUACAUAAACAUAACUAGAAAACAAACAACAAAAAAAAAUUAAUUUUUUACUUCAAUUUAAAAUUCAUUUCAACCAAAAAUUCAGUUUUCAUAAAACAAACAUGCCCUAAGCAGAGCAAACCCUUUCACUAGAUUGAAGCAUUCAACAGGUUAAGUUUAGAAGUAAAAGAUUUUUAAGCCAUAUAAGUUUUUAAGGCAUAAAAUCUUUUGGGAUAUUAGAAUUUUAAAGGUUAUACAAGGUUUUAAGAUUUUCAAAUUUUAAGAUUUUCAAAUUUUUAAAUUUUAGAGUUCAGUGGCACGAAUAUAUGAACAUCUAAUCAGCGAUUAGACGCAAAAUAAUUUUGUCAACGUUUCACAUCUAAUGAGCAAUUAGACACAAUAAUUUUAUCAGUGUUCAGAUAGUUAAAAAUAUUAAUUACAAUUAGCUAACACCAAACAUAUUAAUUAAUUUUACCACUGCCAUGGAGAGGAGAGUAAAUUUUGCAAGAUAACAACAAAUAUUGACAAUUUUGUGAUAUUUAUAAAAUUUUGAGAGACCUAAUUUGGAUGAAUAAAAGAUAAAAAUUUUAGAAUUAAAAUGAAUAUCUGUAAAAAUUAUAUGGUUUAAGCUAUAAUUUUCGUUGUUUAAGGUUAAAAGCCCAAANCUUCUCGUCCGUGAUGGAGUUGUUGCGAUGAUCUUUGCGGAGGAAUGGUUGGAUUACAAUUUUUUUUGUCCUUCCAAUUUUUUCAACUGGAGUUUCUGAUUUAGUAGGGCUUUUUUUUAAAAUUUUUCUAGUGUUGAAGUAAUAUUAUUUUUAUUAGGAUAUAUCCUAUAUUUGAUAAAAUUCAUUUCUUUUUAUUUAAUUGAAAUUAUAUAUUUAAGCUUUCAUUCUUAUUUCCAUUAAAUUUAAUUACUCCAUAAAUUAAAAGUUCAUCAAAUUCAAACCUAACAUAGCCAAAACGAAUAAAAGCUUAAAUAUAUAAUUUCAAUUAAAUAAAAAGAAAUGAAUUUUAUCAAAUAUAGGAUAUAUCCUAAUAAAAAUAAUAUUACUUCAACACUAGAAAAAUUUUAAAAAAAAGCCCUACUAAAUCAGAAACUCCAGUUGAAAAAAUUGGAAGGACAAAAAAAAUUGUAAUCCAACCAUUCCUCCGCAAAGAUCAUCGCAACAACUCCAUCACGGACGAGAAGGGUGGAAUCGGAAAUGAAAUUUCCGAUCCCUCUCGCAAACGUAGAAAUUGCCUCAAAACAUUGAGAAAAAAGGUUUUGGGACAGAGUGCGUUUGCAAAUUUGCACAAAUUUGUGUAGCAGAUUGAAAAAGAAUCCGAAUUUUACAAAAAAUCGACAGAAAUUGAGAAAAAUCCCCCAAAAAACCUCCCAAAAAUCGGUGGAAAUUAGGAUCGAAACAAAUAGAAAUGAGUAAAAACCUACUACUUCAAAAAAAAAAAAUGUACCAGCUAAGAAGGACCCGGAAAAUCACGGAGUGGAUUCAGAUCCAGGCGAGUCUCGCUGGGAUCGAUCGAUCUCGCAAGUGAAAAAAAUGGAUUGUUUGGAUCGGAUUGGGUUUCGAGAUCCAAACAAGAAGCUGAUCUUGCUGAAUACUUGAUCAAUUAAUCAACAAAUAGAGAAAAAAAAAAAAAAAGAAAAAAAGAGAUGGGAUUAGGGUUUUAGCGUCGUACGUAGAGCGGAGGGGCUACAGGGACGAAGAGAAGGAGAAAAAGGGGGGGUAUUUAUAGGAGCGGGGUUUAGGGUUUUUUGAGUCGGUGGGGAUUUGAAUUGACUUUCCGAAAAUGCCCCUACGAGUCCAAUCGGAUUUUAUGACCAGUGGGUUUCAUCGACCGGGUUCAAACUCUAUAAUUACGUUUUUUUCAUUUUAAUUACACAAAUUUAAAAUUAUAUUUUUUUAAUUUUUUUUUAAAAAAAAUUCAUCUAAAGUCAAGUCCAACCGGAUCCAGAUCCGGGCACCUUAUUCCCAAUGGGUCCGGAUCCGGAUCCAAUAGAGACCCGAAAUGAGGGUUUGAGUUUGAUCUACACAUAAUGAAUAUUUAUUUAUUGAACUUAAUAGCUGUCCAAAUCAAUUUUGAUUUAUGUUUGAUCAAAAAAAUUUGACUUAUCGGAUUUAAAAGUUGAACCGAAUGGCUUUCUACACUGAGUUGGAUAUUCAUUUUAACGUUGUGAACCCGGUGCGCGUAACUUUUAUAUCGUGUACAAAAUAAGAAAAAAAAGUGUUUUCAAGAUACACUUCGUAUUCGUAUCGUAUUUUUUUUUAUAUACUGUCUGUUUGUUUCAACCUAAGUAGACUUUAAGUUGAAGUGGAUUUUGAAUUGAAAUAAAGUUCAGGUGAAAAAUAUUUCAACUCGACUAUUAGUUUUUAACUGUGGAAGUAAAGUUCUACUAAUUUUGCUAUUUAUUGGUAGAAAGUGAAUGACGUAAAUAGUGCAGUUCUUUAUUUUUUCUGUUUAUUUCACCGAAAAUUAUUCAUUUUCCUCACCAUAGUAAACUUACCUCCUAGAUAAUAUUAUUAUCUCUCUUCUAAUUUAAUAAAUAAUAAAUUAUAAUAAAUAAAAAAUAAUGUAAAUAUAUGUCUAUACAAUUAUAAAAUAAAAUUUAAAAUAAUUAUAUUAAUUUUUUGUAUAUAAAUUAUAAUAAUGCAAUAAAAAAAUUCUAAAGUCAAAUAAUUAUUAACAUUUAACAUAUUAAUUUUCAUCUUUUUUUAAUAUAUAAAUUAAAUAAAAAAUAUAUUAAAACUUAACUAACCCAAUUUCAUCAUAUGUGAUACAUACAAUUUAAAGAAAAAAUUAUUUACUUUCACAAUUAAAUAUAUUUCGAUGAAAUAUGACUAGCAUUAUUCAAGAAUAUCACCCCAUGAAAGAAUAAUCCUAAAUAUUACUGUAAUUAAGUUUUCAUCUUUUUUUUGUUUACUUCAUCGAAAUUGAGUUCCUCCUAUGAAAAUGCAAAAUCAAUUUUAAUAUUUCGAAUGAACUGAGCUUUCGAGUAUAAUAAUAAUACGAUGAAUCCAACAGUAAAAAUGAUUAGUUUUUGCCGAAAAUUAUUUUUUUUUCUCUUCACUUACGGUGAAACAAACGUGUCCACCCUUAGCUGUGUUGGAUAAAAAAAAGGAAAAACUUCAAAAAACCCUUCUGUGGUUUUACACUUUUUCAUUUUAAUAUCCUGUAGUUUAAAGUGUAUCAAGUUAGUACGCAGUGGUUUCUCACUUUAUCACUUUAGUACCCUGUGGUUUAAAGUGUAUCAAGUUAAUACCUUGUGCUUUCCCACUUUAUCACUUUAGUACCCUGUGAUUUAAAGUGUAUCAAAUUAGUACUCUAUGAUUUUAUUUUUAUAUCAAGCUAGUAUCCUGUAGUUUUAUAUUUGUAUCAAGUUACUAUCUUGUGGUUUUUAAACCACUAGGUACUAAAGUGAUAAAGUGCGAAAUCAUAGGGUACUAAAGUGAUAAAGUGCGAAACUACAGGGUACUAACUUGAUAUACUUUAAACCACAGGGUACUAAAGUGAAAAAGUGCAAAACCAUAUUGUACUAACUUGAUGCACUUUAAACUAUAGGGUACUAACGUGAGAAAAAGUGAAACCACGUGGGGGUAUUUGAAGUUUUCCCUAAAAAAAAAAAAAGUAAAACACGCCCACGAUCAUAUAGACCCGGCGCAUAUCGAACGCUCCUCCCGCAAAACCCUAAUAAAUCUUCAGUUUCACAAUUAACUCCGCUCAAUUCCCCCAUUUUCUCCAAUUUCUCCUCCAAAUUCUCGAAGAUUUAGAGCCAUGGAAAGUCGCAUAGUACUGGACGAGAGUAAAUUUGAGCAGAAGCUUCAGCUAUGGGCGCUUCGGAUCCCACGCGAGCUCUCCAGCUCCGUCACUCGCCUCCUUCAUGGGUAUUGCAUCGAUUAAACGCACGUAUAUUAUGAUUCUCGCGAGAUUAAGUUGUAAAUAUUGUUGAUUCGAUUCGUUGCUUUGUGCCCCUUUUUAUGCGAUUGAGUGGAGUUUUUUUGGUUGUGUGGGAGGGAAUUGAAAAGAUCAAUCAGAGGUGGCCAAGAUGAUUUUUUAAAAUUUUUAUUUUUGGUUAUUUAGAGGGUAGCUUAGAGGGAGUUGGAUUAUUAAAAUGUAUAGAUUUGAUGUAGGAAAUUCACACUGUAAGGCAAUGUAGCUUGUUCAUGAAACAAUUUAGGAAUUUGAUAUUGUGAUUUUUUUUUUUUAACCUUUUGGGACUAUAUGCUUAUUUGAUCCAACGCGAGCUUCUGCGAAAGUGAUGUUUGAUAGUCACUAAAGUACACCUAACGGAUUUUCACCGUAGCAGAAGCAAAGGUUCAAAUUAAAGCUUUUGCAAAAGUGAUGUUUAAUUGUCAUUAAAAUCCACCUCAAAAGUUUUUGCUUUAGCAGAAGUAGAGACUUCAAAUUAGAACUUCUACAAAAGUGAUGCUUGAUUGUUAUUACAAUCCAUGGAAGCAAUUUCACUGUAGCAGAGGCGAAGCUUUCAAGUAAGAGUUUUUGCAGAAGUGAUGUUUGAUUGUCUUUAAAAUCCGCCUAACAAGUUUUCACUAUAUAUGAAAUAGAUGCUUCAAAUUAGAGCUUUUAAUUGUGGGCCCUUCCGCUUCCUGCGAUAAAAUUUUAGGGCAAAACUUUAUUAGGCUUAAUGGGGCUGUUCAUCGCGCUCGAUGGAUAAGGUUGCCGCCCCACCAGAGAUAAAUUUUUGAAGAUUUUCAUCCUCAAUCUCCGACUCAAAUCUCCUAUUAGCUCUUUAAUAUUCUAUGUCUUCUUGUUCGACUAGUUUGUGAAAAUUGUUAAUUUGCAUUUCAUUUUCUAGCUGCUUGCUAGAUAAGCCUCGUAUCAAACCCAUAACUGAAGAUCCGGACUGUGAGAAAAAUCGCCUCGCCGUAUUAUCUGAAAGGAUCCAAAACCCUGGUAAGUAAUAUAUUAAUGUCUUUGGCUUGAAUUUCUCGAUAUUCAGAAAGUUCUACCAAUACUAUAAGACAUCUUAUCCACCAUUGUUUCAUCAUUUCUUAAUAAGUGAAAUAAUUUUGGACCCAGUGUGCCCGCUUUAAGUUGCUCCAUCAUUGUACUUACCACACUGGUACAACCAGGUAACUUAGUAAUAUUCAAGCAAUUUUUGGACAAUGAUAUCAUGAUCAAAUUGCCAUCUGAUUUCCCCGAAACUAUACAUAACAAAUAUUUAGGUAAUUGUGCUUUAUUCAUGCCUUUAUGUGCUAAGAAUUUAUUAAAUAAGAGAGCCUUAACAUGAAAAACCUGAUUGUGCUUUCUAACUUCUUCUCUACCCUUCCAUAGUGGCUGUCAUAUUGUGUUUACUGGUUGUUUCUAUCAUUAAGGGGGGAAAAAAGAUAAAAAAAGUUGGAUUGAAUUUUUGAUUGGAGAUAAAUAUAGUAUUGAUUCUUUUCUUUCUCAUGAUUCGUAAUGCAUGAUAUUUACGCUCUUCUUUUGUUUUUAUUUGUUACUGGUGAUUAAUUCCUGUAAAUUGAAUAGAUUUAUCUGAGAUCCCUGAUGAAAAGCUGGAUUCACUGAAGAAGUUGUGCAAUUUCGAAGCAGUUCCCUAUUCAUUGACACUUGGGUACUCUUACUGGAGUGCAGGUUGAUCUUACACUUCUUGUAGCUCAGUUACUUUAGAUGACUGUUACUAUAAGUACCCUUCUGGAUAGUCCUUUAGUUUCUUCGCUAUAAAUGACUGUGGCUAUAAAAUAAAAAGAAAUGAGAAGGGUGCACUUAGACAUGGUCAAAAUAAUUUUCGCUGGGGCUUUUUUUUUUUUUUUCUGUUUUUUAAAGUCUUCCUGAUUUAAUAAGUCUAUAUGGGCUUUUAGAGGCUUGUUGAGGAGAAAAUGUUAUAAACAAUUCAAACUAAACAGCUUAUUUUGUCAUGCUUUCUUGGUAGCCUUGGUGAUGGACCUCUGCUCAGCUAUCACAAUGUGCUUUAUCAUAUUUUGCUGUUUUGAAUACCGAGUUACAUUUCGGUACGAUCUGUGCUAAUAUUUGCAUUCAUGCAUGUUUAGUUCCUAUUAAAUGUAAUUUUAUAAGAUUAGGAGUCUGUUUUCCUUCUGGGAGAUGUCACAUCAUUUGUUUAUUAUGCAAAAAAGAAGAUCAUCUAAAGAAACAUUGAAGUGAGAGUUUAGCGACUAGCGUCAUAGUCCUUCAGAUGGUUUAUGUUCUAAGAAAGCAGAUACUAAACAAGGGAGUCUUAUAGUAUUAUUCCCAGGUAUUGUGUCUUUUUGUUCUUACUGUAUAUAUAUAUUUUUUUAGCUUUGAUUUGUGGAAUCUCAAACUCUUUAUGUAAUAUUAUAGCAUUUAAUGUUUUACCUCUCAUCAUCGGAUCGCUUAAGCCUUGAAGAAGUUUCCAGCUUCUUUGAUACAAGCAAAACCUUUGUUGGUUUCUUCUUUAUUACCUAUCCAAUGACAUUUCUAUUAAUGAUUGAUUUCGUCUUUUCUUUUUCUUGUUUAUAGACCAUAUUUUGAAGAAAAUUCUGCCUGCAGGAGUGGAAGUGCCUUCUUCUUUUGAAACAAUAGUUAAGUAUUCUUUAUAUUUCUUUGUUAAUUACCAUGUGCUUCUUUCAUCCUGUAUGCAUUUCUGCGUACAAUGACUGGAAAGGCACCUUUUUACCCCAUAACUUAUAUAGUGAUGUGCUUAUAUUCUUGUUCUGUAUGUCUAAGUUUCUACUAACAAAUAUAUCUUAUUGUUCACCAGGCCAUAUUGCUCAUCUAAAUAUAUCUGAUGAAUUGCUUCUUUACAAGGAUGUCAUAGCAAAGGUUAUCUAUGAUGUAUGUAUGCUUCUCUAACUUAUGAUUAAUGAUUAUCUGAUUGAUGGAUCUUAUGUAGAUUUCUUUUGCAAAUUUGAAAAUCUGUAUUUGGUUUAACAGAUUUGAGGAUUCUUAAACAAUUUGUUUUAUUAUUCCUUUUUUCAAAUCUGCACAGAAGAAUCACCCUAGAAUCCAAACAGUGGUAAAUAAAGUUGGAACUAUCACAAACGAAUUCCGAGUGCCAAAAUUUGAAAUUUUAGCAGGAAAAGAUGAUAUGGUCACUGAGGUUAAGCAGUAUGGUGCUACUUUCAGACUUAAUUAUGGUUUGGUCUACUGGAACUCGAGACUCGAGCAUGAGCACAUACGGCUGGUUUCCCUUUUCCAGAAAGGAGAUAGUAUUUGCGACAUGUUUGCUGGAAUUGGUCCCUUCUCAAUUCCAGCUGCACAGAAAGGAUGCACUGUGUAUGCAAAUGAUUUAAAUCCUGAUAGUGUCCAUUAUUUAAGAACAAAUGCAAAGAUAAAUAAGGUGGAGGACCAUGUUAUUCCAUAUAACAUGGAUGCUAGAGCAUUCAUUCGUCACUUGGUGGUACCGACUGAUUCGGAGAUGGAAGUAGAGUCUCAAUGUGCUACUAUUAGAGGAAGUAAGGGAAACACAUUACAACCUAAUGAAGAAUCAGCUAUGGAAAAAGGAACUCUAGAUGGUAUAUAUUUGUUUCCUAAAAUUUGCAAAUGGUUCACUUAUCUUUUCUUACGGUUUGGUUGUUUUUUCAUGUGGUUAUUCUAAUUAGACUUAGUACUUACUUUUGCUAGAUGCUGGAGACAGUGAAAAAUGUGUGAAUGGUUCAUCUACCAUUGCCGCUAAGAGACGAGCAGAGAUCUCCAGUGAAGGUAAGUCUGCUAAACUUCUUUGUCUUAGAAAUUCCAUUUUUUCAUAUUACUUGUUGACAAUAUUGUAUCUAAUAGAGAGAUUAAUUUCUAGAGGUGGCAAUCGCCUUAAUGGAGUGGAGAUCGAUCCAUUCCUUGUGAUGCCUACAUUUAGUAGGCUUGAAACAUAUUACAGACGCUAUCCCAAGAUCCUAGUUUUAGGAUACCUAAUUUGACUGAUAAUUUGUAGUUUCCAAGAUUGUAAAGAGCACAGAUUACUUGAAUGUUGAUAUUUGUUCUAGUGUUCUACUGAGUUGUGAAAUUAGAAUGAGUUUACUGAUCAAAGAGAGCCUAGUGAUUUUGUGGCUGAAGAGUUUCCAUGAACAAUUUAUGCUUCUAAUACUUUAACAGAUGGCGGCACUGAAAAUAAUGACUUAAAUGCAACGACCAAGAGACACAGAAACACUAACAAGAGAGUACGUGGCUGUGUACCAUCUUCUCUCAAGCCCUGGGAACAUUUUGAUCACAUGAUAAUGAAUCUUCCUGCUUCUGCUCUGCAAUUUCUUGGUAAGUUUUUGUUCCUCUUCAUAUCUUACCAAAGAUAUUUGUAGUGCACAAUAGUAUGGGAAGUUACGUGUUGUUCCCAUUUAGCUGUUAACGCGUAAUUCUUUGUAGUCUUAUGCUUCAAAUUUAUAACUUCAAAUUCACAUCUUGAAGUUAGGCCUUACCUGAUUUUAUUCAGAGGAAACCAUCUAACAAACUUUGAUCAGAAUUUUCUUUUUACUAAUGUUAUUCUUAAACAAAUUUGUUUUCAAUUAUGCACUAGAAUAAAGGUACAUUACCGACAUUAAUUUGUUAACUACCAAUUGUGGUGCGCAGUUGAAAAUUGUUCUGAGCAUUGUUUCAAUCGUACACAUAAGCAACGCUUUGUAAAGGCAUUGAGGUGGACAGACAGUUAAAAUUGAAUACAGGAUCGGAUUAGAUUAUUUAAAUCUUUUGUCUAAUGAUUUAGCAGAUGUUUUCCAUGGUCUUCUCCGGAAGAAACACUGGAAGGGGCUUUUACCUUGGAUACACUGCUACUGUUUCAUGCGUUCAAAUGAAACGAAAGAAUCUAUACUCGCUGUAAGUGGAUUGCUGUCAAUGUUUCAUGAAUUGUCUGCUUUGUUGGUGCUUGAUACUGCUAUUUUUCACUUUAAUGCAUAUAUGCAUACUUAGCCUUCGAAAUAAUGUAUUGACGUUCACAUCAAAACAUUUUUGAAGCACCCAACUUCUUUGCAGGAUGCAGAGUCGACUUUAAAUGCCAAAAUAGCAGACCCAAUUUUUCAUAGGGUUCGAGAUGUUGCGCCCAACAAGGUAAGAACUUUCUUAAGGUUGUCUUUUCUUUAUUUUAAGUCUUUGAAUGCGUUAGAACCUGGUUAUCUUCUAAUUCCAAAAUUUUCAAACUUCCAAAACAAAUUAGCAAAUUAUGUCAAUUUUUCUGCAGUAAUACAGCCUGCAUUACUUCCUGCAGGCUAUGUAUUGUUUGAGCUUCAGGCUGCCCGAAGAAUGUUUUAAGGAGGAAUCGCAAGGUUUGAUGCUAUCCGCUGAUACCAAGUCAUAGUGUCACAGAAAUAGAACCCCGUCGCCUACUUAUUGUGCUUUUCUGAGCGACUCGUGAAGCUACACUUCCCUCUACAGGUACUCAAUUGGCAUUGCACCUUUUCUUCACUUAAUUUAAUUCUGAACAUUUGGUUGUCAGGAAUCUUGCAUUUCAAAUACAGCUACCUAUACUCUCAUUGCUGAUUAAAAUGAAGAUGGGUGAUAAAAAGAUGUGUGAUGGUUUUUCAUUUUAACCGCACAAAUUGGUUUCUUUCAUGGUACUUGGGAGACAAAAAGGAUCUGCAAUAAUGUGUCACGAUGAGUUUUUGGUUCUAUUUACAAUUGCAUUUUUGUUAAUCCCUAUAUUUAUAUGAUUGUCAAAAUGAAAGAUGAAUCCAUUGUUAUGUAUUGUACAACUACAGCAAGAAUUCAAAUCCUAGUUACCUUUUCUACAUUAGCAAAUGAUUUUCCUUCAGAUGCCAAUUCAUUUCAACUUGAUUAUUUUUUUAGACAUGUUCCGCUAGACGGAAUCAAUCAUGAUCUUUGGAUAUCAUGCUAAAAUAGCAUCACUAAGUAUUCACUUCAUGACAUAGUUCUAAGUCCCAAAGGGUGCGCAAUGCUUACACAGCGACGAAAUAGGGAUCAAUUCCGUCUCUCCAAAAAUAGUGAUCGAUUUUGCACAUACGGUAUAAACGUAUGCUAUAGUGGAGCAGAAGAGGUUGCUACCUCUUCUAUUAUAUUUCUUCCGCAUUUCCCUUUCUUCUUCCUGAUUCCUUCUUGUACUAAAGACUCGUUGAAUAUUGUCUCCCACUUCAAUGGUAUUUUAUGUUACGGAAUUAAAAAACGAACCCAUCUAAAGAGGUUCCUAGAAUCUGAGGUUGACCAAGCGAUCAAAUUAACAACAUGUCUUCAUCUAUCUGCUUCUUAAAGUUUGAAAUUGAACAGAACUAAUCCUGCGAUUCCUUUUCCAAUGCUCGAGUUGUUUCUGUUUUGAGCAAUUUGUUGAUCAAUUUCUGAUUCCUUACCAGGAUACGAGGUGGCUUCAAAGCUCGAGCGAAAUAGGACCUGCAAAAUUUUCUCAAGAGCUAGUUUCUUGACCUGUGUAAUACAAGAUCUCUUUGAUUGGCUAAAGCAUUUCACAAAGCUCCGGUUUGAUCAUUGUAAGGUACUCAACCCCAAGAUACCCUCAGAAUGAGUGUUUUUGAUAUUCGAGUUAAAUUAAACAUAGCCAUGUCAUAAGCAUCACUUUUUUUUUUUCCCUCUCUAUCUAAUAGUUUGGACUCUAAUCAAGCCCAUGGAGAGUAGUUUACAAACUGGUCAAUUCAUAUAUAAUUAUAUAUUGCAGUCAAAAUACAGGAGGUGCACAAGUACGCAAACAUAAGUUGAAUGAAACAAUAUGUUAGUACAGGAGAUGACUAGGGUUAGGGCUUUUAUCGGAGUACUCGGGCUUCUAACAUAGUAUUUGAGACUCUGUAUGGUCACUAAUGUGUAGACCUUGUGCUCUAAGAGACACUUAUGGGUUCCUGCUGCUCGAGUUAACUGGUGCCCAUAGAUCCGCGCCGUUGCUCCGGGCUAUUCCGAGCGUCACCGCGACCGGCAUGAGGCAGAGGCCGCGGCUUCCCAAGCUGUAGUAAUCCCCAUCCUGAGCUUUCAUGAGAAGAUUAAGCUACCGAAAGCUUCGAUUCUUUGCAUUUAAACAGCACAAUGAAAGUGCAGUAAUUAUUUUUCGUCGCGUUUGUUUGGAUGCUGGAAUAAGUAACAACACUGCAGUUUGUUGUUGGAUGGGGAGUUUCCUUUUGAUUAUGGUCACAUUGUAACUUGAUUUUUUAUCCAUUUUUUAGCCAUUUUUUUAGAAGUGAAAGAUGCUGGAGCUAUCGCACGAAUAGCUUUUUUGCAAUAGAAGCUAUGACAAACGAAAAAAUAAAAAAUAAAAAAAAGCAUCUCACCUCAACUUUACCAGCCACUGAAGUUCGUAGAUAUGGAGCGCUUAGAACCUAUCAAACACCAUAAGAGAGACUGAUUUGUUUUAAAACUCUUUUUCCGAGAAAAAAAAAGAAAAAUGAAAAAGGAACUGUGUGAGGGAAAUAACCUUGAGUUGGUCAUGGAGGAACUUGAUGUACCCAGAAGCUUCUUGAAGAACCGAAGCUGUAUCCGACUGCAGUAGAUCGUCAGAUUAAGCCGUUUUAACUUUAGAACACUCGUUAAGAUUUAUUAAUUAAAAUAAAUACAUUUGAUCCACUCAUGAGGAGCCCAUCUCAUUAGUUUAACUAUUAAUUAGUUCUCCAGGUGCACUGCCAAAGCAGUUUACCUAGAUAUAACGUAUUUGCUUUGACAAUUAUCAAAAUUAGCUUUGACAAAAUCAAUUGCUUAUCAAGCGCGCCGAAAAAACUCUUUAUUUUUAUUGUGCAAAGGAUUGAAGAUUUAUGCAUACCUUUCCGAAAGGAGAGACCAGUUGUUGCAGCGCCGCGACUCGCUCUCCAAUCCUGUCCUUCUUCUCCUGUUUGCUCGUCUCAUUAAAGUAUUAGUAAUAAUCUUAGAAAGAACUACUAUAAUCUUAAAAGAAGAAAAUAGAGAGAAAUUAUGCGUGCACCCACAAUCUCUCACAUGCAUGUCAAAUCUGCUAGGGCAGUGAAAUAUGUUAAAAUUUAAGUUAAUUACUUAUUUUAAUAAAUUUAUAGUUGCGAGAAUUGUAAUAAAAUAUGUUAACUAAACUUAUAAAUACAAACAACACAUUUACGUAGUUUUGAAGUGACCGACACAAAUCAUACAAACCAAAAGAUUAGUUAUUAAAAUCGAAAUGUUAAAAGCUGGGUAGCCGAUUAAAGAAUACAGUUCGGAUAAGUUCUAUACGUGUGUUAUCAUAAUUCUAUUGAUUUGUUAUUUAACAUGCAUGUAAAAAGAUUGUGAGUACAUCACGACUACAAAGUAUAGUUGGACUUCGUAGUAAUGCGCACAGAAAGGUCAAAGGCCAGCCAAACCUUUGGAUAGAUGGGGCCUCCUCCUGCAUCUGUCUUCAACUUCUUGCCGCUCAUACUACCAUAAUUGGUGGCGGCGGCGGCGGCGGCGGCAGUUGCGGUUGUCAUGGCUGCGCUGGCGGCGGUGCCGUGAAAGUAAUUGUCGUAAUUCUUUCUUUUAUGAUCAACUAUUUCUGUCAUCAUCAUCCUUGAUCUUCUUUUCUCUGCUCACAACAGCAAAAACCACAAACUUGAAAUCUUUAUUUUGCUAUAAAAAAAAUUUCUUUGUUUUUGGAUAUGAAAGACUCAAAUGGAGGAGAGAGUAGCAGGAGAGCUUGACUUCAGGGUGAGCAAUUAGGCAAAGUGCAUGGGCAGUCCCUCUACUAUCUAAAUAUCGCAAUUUGGUCCUCGUACUUUUCAUCUAAGACACUUUAGCCACAUAAAUCGUUUUCCCUCGUUAGAGCCCGUUUGGUAUCGACAAAAGCGUGUCAGGACAUGCUCUCCGUUUUUCGGUGGGACUGUAUGCAUGCAAAAAACAUACCGUAACCGACCUAUCAUAAUGUAUACGGCGUGAUAUUAGUAUAUUACUUACAGUAAGAGAUAGAUUUUUUCAUUUCUAUCGUACUUUCUCACCGUACGUAAUGCGAUCUCUCCUUUCUGACUUGCAAUAGUUUUUUGACGCUUAGAUUAUUCAAUUGAGAAGUACGGGGACCAAAUUUGUAGUAUUGGAAUAUUAAAGGGACAAAUCCAUAAGUUUGAACCCCAUCAAUGCCAUGCCAUAGGCUUUGUCAAACCCCAUCUGUUUUUAUGUCAGUAGUUAUCACUACAGUCCAAGGACAGUUUGUUCACCAAAGAAAUCUGGUCUCUUUCUCACUUUUAUGUUCACAUUUUUUCUUGAUUGGGCCAUCUUUGUUCACUUACUAAUGUAUUUAUAUAUUUGUUCAUCUACUUAUUAUCUUUUUUCAGCUUUUCAGGUUCUGUAACCAAUCCCACAAAAUACUUUAUUAUCUUUUUUUAAAAAAAUUUUAAACUUGUUAAAAUACAGAAAACCUCUGUAUAAAUACUCGUUUCUUUACUUUUUCUUUUUUACUUUCAAAAUUUUAUAUUUUAUCCUCUUAAAAUUUCAAGUUGAUACAUUUAACCUCCCCUUCGUCAAAGUUCUGUCGCUAUUCCGUCAAAUUUCUUAUAAUUUAUAUCGAAAAUACUCUUAAAAAUAACAGAAUUUUAAAAAAUAAAAUAAAAUAUUUUUUACAGAACAAGUAACGGCGAUUUGGUCAUUUCAUCCCCUUUAUAACACUGUAAUUCUCUAAAAAUAAAUAUGAAAAUUUAAAGGGAGUAAAAUAUAAAUUUUUGAAAGUUAGGAGGAAAAAAGUGAAAAGUUGAUAUUUAUAGAGAAUUUUCUGUAUUUUAGCCUUUUAGAUUCUUUAUCAUACGUUUUGAAAAUGACUUGGGAAAAUUAUACAAAGGCCUCAAUUUUAACUUUUUUUAUAAAUAAAACUCUUUAACUUUAUCAAAUAGUUCCGUAAAUCUUUCAAGCGAAGUAACUAAUUAUACAAUUAUUUUGAUUGUAUGUCUAGCACAUAAUUUUAUACGACUUCGAAACACGCGGAAACCUAUUUCUUCUCAUCUAGUUAUGAUAACUAAGCAUCAGAAUCAAAUAAUGAGGUGAAAACUAAUUUGAUUUUUGUGGCCUUUUUCGCGCAUUAGAAUAGGAGGUAAGAUUUGUUCGUAUUUUGAAGCUUUACAAAAUUACUCGUCGGACAUGCGACAAAAACAGUUGUGUAAAUAGUAAGUUCACUUAAGAAGAGAAGUCUACUGAGCAAUUUAAUAAAAUUUAGCAAUCUAAUUAAGUCUAUUUGUAAUAGUAUUUAAAAUUUUAGGAGAUUUUUGUAAGUUUCUUUUCCCCAAAAUCUAACCCCUUUUUUUUCUAAUAAUAUCUAAUAUACCUUCAAAACUUUAAAAAUAUCUAAUAUAAUUCUGGUAGGCCAAAAUGCCCUUAUUGAUUUUCAAAAUUUCUUCAGAUAUAUCUCUAACUCUCGAAUUUACUAAUGGAUUUGGGAUUUAGAAGGAUAUUUUGAAAAUAGAAGGGUAAAUUUGAAAAUUUUGAUUAGUAAUGAAAGGUAUAUAAGUAAAAACCUUUUUUUUUAUUAAAAAAAGGAUUUUGUAUGAUUUAUCAUUUUUUUUGCGAAAUGGACUGCGAUGAUUCAAAUUUUCGCAACCAGAUACUUCUAUAAGUACUAUAAGUUGUAGAAUGAUCGCGAUACUAUUGACCAAUUUGGCCGAAUAUGUAGAAAUCUUUCUCAUUAUCAAGAAAUAGACACAUGAAAAUGGUGUGUAUAGUGUAGAGGCGCGGAGCCCAAUUAAUACUUUAGAUAAGGUAUUAGAUAUGGAUCGAGUAGCAUGUUCUCAGUUCGAAUUCAAAUUCAAAUUCAAAUACAGAUGCUUAAAAAUAAAAUAAAAUAAAGCCAUUGGUUAUUAAAAAAAGAAAAAGAAAAAGAAAACUUCAUCUUGAUUUUUUAAAGGGAUAAUUGCCUAUAUACCUCUCAUAUGUUUGAAAAUAUUCGAUUUAUCCUUACUUUUUUUUUUCUUUCUAAAAUACCCCUCAUAUGUUCCACCAUUAUUGCAAAAUACCCACGCAGUUAUUUCCUGUUAAGUUAACUUGAGUUAAACGUGAGUUAAAUAUCUACCACAGUUAAAAAAAAAAUAAAAUGCCAAUUUUGCCCUUAACUUAAAAAUAAAUAAGAAAUAUUGGUGACGGUAGAGGAGUAUAUUUGAAAAGACCAAAAGUCAAAAUACUUUUUGUGCCCCUAACUUUAAGGGCAAGUAAAAAAAUCAGUAAUGAUGGAAGAAUAUAUUUGAAAGGGAAAAAUAGUAAUUUUACAGAGAUAAUAGAGUUAAUUAACAUAUUUUAACUCUAGGGGUAUAUUAGAAAUAUGUUGGAAAGUAGAAAUGAUAUUUUCAAUAUCAGCCUUCUAAGAGGAAUAAAUCGAAAAAUCGAAAAUUUUUUAGAAAUAUAUAAGCAAUUGCCUUUUUUUUUAAUAUUGAACCUGACUUUUGUCCAAUUCAUAGGAUACUAUUUCUGGUCCUCGUGUCACAUUAUUGGGGUACAUAAAAAUAUGUGAAAAUUAAAUAAACCAACAAAACGACAAAAUCUCUAAAUUCAAGACGUAUACGGCAUUAUCUUUUCCAAAUUACAUAAAUAUAUUUCAAUCUUAAUCUUGAAAACAACAACAACAACAAAAUCCUCACUCAAUUAGCUUGGUUUUUUAUGAGUUUAAAUUCAAAUUUCAAUAUUUUGGUUUAAGUGAUUCUCACUAGUACUAAUAACUCUGUGGCUUUCAAACCAACAAAAUAUUUAAAUAUAAUUAUUAUUAUUAAAUUAUAUAUAUAUAUAUAUUAUUUUAUUUUUCAUCUGAUGUUCAAUAUAAUUGGGUUAAACAUUAUAAUAAACAGUUAAAUAUAAGCUAUGUUGAUUAAUAAAUUAUUUAAUAAUAAUGCUUUAAACUCAAAUUCUAUGUGAUUAAAUAAAUUAGACCACAAAUUAGAUCGCGCCAAAUGGCGCGUUUCUAUUGUUGAUUAUGUGAUCAUUUUCUUUUGACAUGAUAAGGCAGUGGCUGUCACUGCUGAAUAGUCUUAAAUAAUAGAGUUUUGUGUAUAAGAUAACUACACAGAUUUCUAAAAUAUUUUUAAUUAAUAUUUAGGUAUUAUUAAUAUUAUUAUUAUUAUUAUUGUUUUUACUAUGUUUAAUUUAAGUAUAGUAAAAGUUAAUAUUUUGAACUGUGAAUUUUUCUACAGCUGUAUUUUCGAGCCGAACAUAAGCAUGCGAUAUCUGACUCUUCUUUAAUUCUUUAAAAGAUACAUGUACAGAAAAAUUUCACACACAGAACGAUUUUUCUACUUAUGAUGUUCAUAAUCGUAUCUGAGCUGUGCCGCGCAUAUUAGAUUACUCAAAUUCAAGCCUCUCUUUUAUGAGUCGGCAAAUGUAGCACAAUGAGCUAAAAUUCCAUUUCACCAGUUACUUUAAAGAAGGUGUUAUAUUAACAUAUCUUAAUAUAUAAUUUUCUAGACAAAAGAAAAAAGAUUAAAAUAUAAAGUAAAUUAGCGCUUCUGCUUUUGUUUCUAAUUACUCAAAGUCGAAAAUAAUUGUUGCUGAAAGCAGAAGCAGAAGUAAAUCCGAACUAAACAGGUUCUUGAAAACAGCCAUACAUGACAAAUACGCAAUCCUAAUAAUUGAAAAUAAGAACAUAAGAUCUUUUUAUUGAUGGGGAGAGAAGAGAGAUAUAACUCACAGUGAUCAAAUACAAGAAGAAGCCUCAGUAAUUCUCCAAAAAGAAGAUCAAACUUAGCUUAUUCUUUUCCCCUGAUAAUAUUUUUGCACAAUUCUCCCCACUCUUUGGAAUAACACUAAAUCACAAAGAGAGAGAGAGAGAGAGAGAGAGAGAGGGGGGGAAGGGUUGGGAGGGUUUAAGGAAGCAAAGGGAGGAGAGAGGCUAUAUAUAAAAGCCCAAGAACAAGAAGAGAAAAUUAAUUUUCUAUUAUUAUUAUGUAGGGUGAAAAAAUGUUUGGAUUGUCCUUGAACUAUCUUCAAAUAGCAAAACAGUCCUUAAAUUUAUAUAUAUAUAUAUAUAUUAGGAGUCCCGCUAUUAUACUUUUAUGAGUAUUGUCUCUCUUAUACUCGUAAGUUUUUGGCCCUUAAAUUUANAUAUAUAUAUAUAUAUAUAUAUAUAUAUAUAUAUAUUAGGAGUCUGACUAUUAUAUUUUUAUGAGUAUUAGCUCUCUUAUACUCAUAAGUUUUCGAUCCUUAGAUUUAUUUCAUUAAUUAUUUUCAUCGAUUAGAUUAUACUAUUUAACCAACUACCAACUCAAUGCUAGAGAACUACUAUUAUUUUAAGUGGGGACCAUCAUCAUCCUAACCACACAUCCCAUCAAUCAACGGUUAAAAAUUUAUAAGUAUAAGAGGAUCUAUACUCAUAAGAGUAUGGUAACCCCAGCCUAUAUAUUUGAUAGAAAAAUUAUAACUAAAUUAAUAGUUCAGAAUAUUGAGAAAAAAUUUGGAGCAAAUCAAGCGAAUUUUGAUCCGAGGAUGAAAAGUAAUGGAUUUUGAUCUCGCCAUUUUAAUUAGCCGUUAUUGUUGAUUUCAGUGAGAGUGCAACAGUAAUAUGGUAGAAUAUAGUGAAACUUAAUUAGUUUAGAAAUAAAUUUAUAUAUUCUUAUCACUUACGAAAUUGUAAAAAUAUUACAGUUUGGAAAAAUAAAUACAUUUGUAAUAUUUUUCAUAUAAUUAUUUCUUAAGAAAAUUUAACUUUUAUUACAGUGAAAUGGCACAGAACUAUAUUUUUAUGAAUUAUUCAUGGUACCACAAGGUAUGAUUUUUUUUUUUUAAAUUUUAUAAGAACAAUUAGUUUUUUGACAUUUAAUAAAAUUUAAAAUUAUUUUUUAUUAAACAGUGUUGGUACUGAGGUGCAAUAUUGAAAUAAUACAGGGGCUAUAAAUACAUUUUACCCCAUAUAAUAAUAAUUAUACAUACGUGACAUGGUCCUUUCACAUGACAGCUAAUACACAGCCCAUGACGCGGGCCCCACCACCUGAACAGGGUGACGUCAUCAAGAUUUCCCACGCUAAUACUUGAAACUUCGAUUUUUCUUUUUUUUCUUUUUUUUUUAUUUCUCCUUUUAAAAAAAGGAAAAAAAAACUUUUUUUUUCUUUUUUUUUUUUGUGGUUGAAUUUAUCCACAAAUAGUUAGAAUAGUUAUUUAUUAGGGUAUUGCAUGGAUAAGCACAUUUUUACUUUACCAUUCUGGAAUUAAACAGAUUAUAAUUAAUAAUUUUGUAGUUUUAUUUUUAUUUUAUUAUAAAAUUUAGUGUUAAAAAAUAAUAACACAAUAAUUUUAUUUUUAAAAACAUUAGAGGAUAAUAAAGUGUAGUUUAUGAGAUAGUAAAAUACUAAAUUGUUCCAUAUUGUAAUAUCCAAGAAAUCUAUAUCUAUACUUACUCCAUUAAAGGAGAGUUCUGUCACCUCAAGACCCCUAGAGGUGACACGUGUCCUCCCAAGGCUCUUCUUUCUCUUUUUGAAAAAAUUCCAUGCACCCGUUCUACACAAGCUUUUUUCUCUCUUUUUAAAAAAUUUGAAUGCACCCGGUCUACACAAAUAUAAUAUACAUCAAAUCUAUUUUUUCAAUUUAAAAUUAAAUAUAAUUUAAUAAAUAUAAUUUAUAUUUUAUAAUAAGUUUAUGUAUUAAAUACUAUAGGCCUUAGGUUCCAGCAAUGGGGAUUUAUCAGUAUGAUAUUAAAUACAAGUAUAGACCCGACGUAUCAAAUGAUUUCUUUCCUACCCACUCCUCAUUUAUAGAAAAACUUUGCCUGCACCCAGUCUAUAAAUAUUACAUAUAUUAAUCAUAACUUUUUAUAAUUCGGUCUAUAAAUAUUAUAUAUAUUAAUUCUAACUUUUUAUAAUUAGAUCUAUAAAUAUUACAUAUAUUAAUCCUAACUUUUUAUAAUUAGUAUUAUUAAAUUAAAAUAUAAUUUUAUAAAUGCAACCUAUCUAUAUAAAAUGUCUCUAUAUCAAAAAUUACUAGAGUUUAAAUUUUUAUAUCAGAUUUUCAAAAAUAAAGUGCACAAAAUUUACUUAUACACUUGGUGCAUCAAAUAGUAUCAUUUGCUUUAAUAUAAAUAAACAUAUAUAGAUAACCCUCAACUAUAAUUUUUUUGAAUUAAGGCCCAAUCAAGUUUUAUUUAGUGUUGUAAUUUUUAUGCUUAGUUACAUUAAGAUGACCAAAGAAAAUUAAAAUUUUAAAUCUAACUAAAUUACUAAUGAAUUUAACAAAAUUUAUAAAUUUUUUGAUAAAAUUAUCUUACUUAAAAAAUUAAAAGUUUAGGAAGUUUCUAUACAUUUUCAGCAAAAGAUAUUUUGGCAAAAAAAAUAUGAGGACCCUCUCAACUAUUAAGACCCUUUGCAAUAGACUGCUCAAAAUUAAUUUUGUAAUUGAUUUUUAUAGUUUUUUUUUAACUUUUUACGAUUAAUUUUGGUUAAUUAAAUAAAAUAUUUAUUAAAAUUUAUACAAAAUUUGAUCAAAUAUUUUUUACAUAUGUAUUUUUACAUGAUUAGAUUAUAUUUAUUAAAUUAUAUUUUAGUUUAAAUGGUGAAACCUUAUAGAACCUUGAAUGGUGAACCUUAUAGAAGUUUUUCUUUUUUUAUUUAUGAAGAGUUGAAGACUAAAGAGCUCCUCCCAACAAUCUUUUUUUCUAUGAAUUUUUUAAUAAUUUUUUGCAUAUAUAUUCCUUUAUAAAAUUAUUUAGUUACUUACAAAUUCUUAUAAAAAAUUUUGUAGCACAUAAACCAAUUUACAUUAUUUUUAUUCAGAUUAUUUUUAAAUUUAUAUAAUUAAUAAUUAAAAAUUAAAAUAAUAUAAAUAUUUUAAUUAAAAUUUAUAAUUAAAAUAUUUUAAAUCCGCAGCAUCGCGCGGGUAAUUCACUAGUAUUACUUUACUUUAUGGUAAAAUUAAAAUUAAAUCAAGAAAUAGCUAAAUACAAUUUUUUUUCUUUUUUAAAAAAUAUGCUAAACCGUAGCGGGUCAAAAAUAAAGUAAUAAAAUUUACCAUAGUAAUUUAAAAUGUUAUAACACCAAUAAUAAGUUUUGGGAUGAGUUUGGGGGAAUAAAUUUUGUCUUCAAAAUAAGAGUAAAGAGAUACAACUUCAGCGGGGAGCUCUCUAAUAACGUUUCAUUAUGAAACCUCUAAUUUACUGUGAUCAUAUGUUAAUUUUGCCUCUAGCCAAUAAUUUGUUGGGCAUAUAUAGCGACAGAUUGAGUUUACUUAACGAGGUGUCGCUGAAAAACUUUGUGCUUAAGUUUCCUUCCUCUAAUAAAAGACAAAGUAACAAAAUAUAAUAUGAUUACUCACAUUUAUUUUUUCCUACCCGAAAAAUGUCUCGCAUAUAACACCUACACUACAUCAUUCAAGUCCCAAGCAUCAAAUUAUGCCUCUCGGGUUCAUACAUUGACAAAUCAUUUUCAAAAAAAAAUUUAUUAUAUUUUUAUUUCAAAAAGGAAAAAUUUAAUAAAAUGUUACGUAUCCUAAGUGGGUUACAUGUGAUAUAAAAGAUCAUCCCUUGCAAUAAAAUAUUGCACUAAUUAUAUGGUGUAUUGUUAUUUGAUAAAAUACUAUACAUCAAAGUAGUAUCAUUGAGAGAAGCACUGUGUUAAUGUAUCUCUAAUAAUUAUUUUAAAAAGUAAAAUUAAAAGUAUCAAAUUUGAAUUUCUUUUAACUUUUCAAACUUAGAUUUAUAUUUCUGCUCAAUUCUCGUGAUACAAAAAAUUUUCAAUUUAUAUUAAAAUAACCGUUACUAAAAGCAGAAGUGAAAGUAAAACUUAAUAUAUUAUAAUAUUAGACCUUAUAUAUAAGGCUAAAUUACAUAAAAUUUUCUUGUCAAAACUCAAUUUUUUACUUUCCUCCCUGUUAUUUAAAAACCUAUAUUUUGUCCCCUUGUAAAAUAAAAAAUGUUCACUUUAUCCCCUACCGUUAGUAACCCGUUAGGCUUCUGUUUAUAAAAUAUUAUUAUAUAUUUUUUAUGCCAAAAAUGUCCUCAGCCUUCUCUCUUGUGAACAUGGUAAGAGGCAAAAUGAUCAUUUUAUCAUCACAGUUCACACCGUACCCCAUGUGAACUUUUUUUAUUUUAUAAGCAGGCAAAGUGUAGGUUUUUAAAUGACAGGAAAAAGUAAAAAAUUGGAUUUAACAGCAAAAUUUUCUGUAAUUUAGCCUAAAUAUAAACACUAUUACACAGCUUAAAAGGUUCUAAUUUGUACUAAUUAUAACUGUAAUUUUAUUUAUUUAUUUAUCUAUUACUAAUAUACGAUUUUGUCAGGGUUCUCUGAAUACAAUAAUUAUAAUAAUGUAUUUUAAAAAACUUCUAAGUCAUUUUCAAUGGGGAAAAAAGUACCUUUCAUUUGUCAACUUAAGAUUGUAACUAAAUAUAUAGCAUUAUACGUACCAAUAACAUCAUGUGAAUUGAGACCCAACCAAUUAAUUAACCAUCUUAAUUAUGAUUUUUUUUUAUUGUUUAAGUAUGUGUCAUUAAAUUAAAUAAAGGCAAAGUUUUAAUUCGCUUUCCCGCGAACUUAUUAUUGUUCAAAAAGUUACACUAAACUCUCCAACAGUUUAAUCGUCCUUUUGAUUUGACUAUCUAAUUUAAAAAAAAAUUAAUUUUACUAUAAAAUCUUAUAAUUUAUUUGAUUUGAGUCAAUUAAUAAUUUUUUAGCUUCAAAAUUUAAAUGCAUUGUUUAUAUUUAUGAGUGUAGUUACUAUAUUUUAUACAAUUUAUAUAACUAUAAAUUUAUUAAAAUAAGUAAUUAUCUUAAAUUUUGUAUUUGAAAAGUCAUCAAAUUAUUUAAAUCAAACAAAUUAAAAGAUUGAAUAAUAAAAUCAAAAUAUUAAAAGAUUGGAUAGCCGAAUCAAAAUAAUCCAUAAUUUAGGUAAAUUUUAUAUACUUUUAUUAAUUAAAAAAUACCACUUUACUAUCCUAUUUAAUCAUAAAUUUUUUAAAUAAAAGAUAAAAAUAAAACAAGCAAAAAUGAGUUAAACCAUAGAAGGACAAAUUAACAUUUAUCCUAAAAUAAAGUACACCUCAUGCACUACAUUUCAGAAAUUUCUAUAAUAAAGAUAUUAAAUUAAAAAUAUAAGUUACUAAAUAUAUUAUAUUCAGGUGGGAAUUUUUUAUAUACAUCUAAUAUAAAACUAUUAUUCUUUAACACAUUUUAUAAUCACCCAAACAAAAAAAAAGCUAGAUAUUUUUUUUUUAAAAAAAACCCAUGCAACUACGUACGUAACAAAACUAUAUAUCGUAAUAAAAUAAUAUUACAGGAGAAGUCAUUUUGGUGAAUUGUUUUGCUAAGUCGCAUAUUCAACUCUACGUAGUUUUAUAUGUUCAAUAAAAUAAUGCAUAUAUAGGAUAAGAGAAAUAAGAUUAUUUAUAUUAUUUAAUGUUAUUAUUUUAUUGUUGUAUUACUACUUGAGGUGUAUGAAUAAGAUUAACUAAAAGUCAAAUUAUGAAAAUUCUAAUCACAAUGUUAUAAUAUUAUUAUCCAAUAGAUAUAUAUAUAUAUAACGCAAAAUUAAUGAAUUUUGUAAACUUGGAGUAUUCUAAAAGUCAAAUAUACUUUUAAAUUUAGCAAUAUAGACAUAAUUAUUAGAAUAAGAACCAUGCAUUAAUUCUUAAGAUAAAAUCAUUAGUUGCGCCUAGUUCAUUUAUAUAUAUUUACUAGGAUCGAUGGACCAUUUUCAGUCGACUAUCCAAUAUUUCAAAAUUAUAAUUUUGCUAUUCAAUUUUUUAAUUUGUUUAAUUUCAAUCAAUAAAUAAUAUUUUGACUUUGAAAUUUGAAUGCGGUGUUUAUAUUUACAGGUUUAAUUAGUAUACUUUAUAUAAUUUUCGUAACUAUAAAUUCAUUAGAGUAAUUAAUUAGUCUAAAUUAUGAAGUCAAGGUAUUGUUGACCGACUCAAAUCAGAUAACUUAACAAAUUGGAUAGUAAAAAUCAAAAUUUUAAGAGUUUGGAUAACUGAUUCAAAAUGAUCCAUACUUUAGGUAAGUUCUGUAUAGUUUUACUAAUUUUUUAUACAUAAAAAUAAAUUAUAACUUAGCAGGGUGCUCAAGUUGAACUAAUGAGAUGAAAACAAAUAAUACCAAGUUGUUGGUGCUAUUAGGUUUUCGGCCCUUGGAUAAAGAAAUGUACGGUUAGAAUGAUAUGGGCCUCCUAGGGUUGAGUGAGUUGUUAGUUGAAUAGUAUAAUCUAACGGAUGAAAAUAGUCAAAGGGUUAAAUCUAACGGCGGAAAACUCGGUAGCAUCAAGUGCUUGGUGCUAUCGAUAGUAUCCCAGCCGGAAUAUAUAUACGUGCACUAAUAACAGUUUAUAUAUAUAACUAGACUACUGCACUAUUAGUAGCACCAAGUCAUAGAUGCUAUUAGAUUUUUGACGAAAGAAUGUUCAGUUAGAAUAAUAGUGGUUUUCUAAAAUUAAGUGAGUGGUUGGUUAAAUAAUACUAUGGCCGAAGGAAAACUUUUGUAAAGAAUUUAGAGAUCAAUAACGUCGAACUUAAAAGUUUAAGAAUCCAAAUGACAGGUAGAGAAAAGUUCAGGGGUAGUGCAGCAAUAUACACAAAAUUGUUUGGUUUAGAAUCGAGAUUGAAUUUUUUUUCUUUUUAGAAAAAGAUAACAUGCUAUUCGCUUUAUUUAUUUUUUUUAAACAAAUUUAGUCAAAAAUGUGAAUCAAUUAGAAUUCGAAUUUAAAAUUUUGGAUAUCAAUUAUUAAAUAUUGGAAAAACUUCAAAUAGCACCCCUCUGGUUUCACACUUUUUUACUUUAAUACCAUAUAGUUUAAAGUGUAUCAAUUUAGUACCCUGUGGUUUCGCACUUUCUCACUUUAGUACCCUAUAGUGUAAAGUGCGUCAAUUUUACUCUGUGGUUUUAUUUUUCUCUUUUCUUCGGCUCCUCUGUUAAUAUUUCGUUAAAUUAUACACAAAACUUCAGAUACCGUACCUAACUUUAUCGAAUAUUUACUUUAGUACUCGUUAGUUUUAACUUUGUCACUGAUUUUUUUUCCUCCAUUAAUAUUUUGUUAAAUUAAUUAUAUAAAAAAAACUUUAGAUAUCCUAUCUGGGUUUAUCGAAUAUUCAUUUUAACACUCUUUAGUUUUAACUUUGUCACUGAUUUAACGAAAAAUAUCCCGAAAUGAAUAACAAAAUGAAAAAAAUAAAACCACACGGUACUAACUUAAUACACUUUAAAUCACAGAAUACUAAAGUGAGAAAGUGCGAAACCACAGGUGCUAAGUUGAUACGCUUUAAAUUAUAGGAUAUUAAAGUAAGAAAGUGUGAAAGUACAGAGAGGAUAUUCAAAUUUUUGAAAUUUAUCCUUAAAUAUUUUGCCACUUGCGUCAGAGACGGUCGGUAACGGGGAUUGAAUUUUGAUGAUGCAGGGGUCACUUUCGAGCAGUUUCUAUCCGUCCGCAAAUCGGGCCAGUUAGUAGUGGUUGGAGAGUGGGCCCUACACGCAUCACCGUUAUAUUAUUUUUCAGAACAUCUGCAACAAAAACCAAUCAAAUAUCUGCAUAUUAUAUAAAAUUAUAAAAUUUUUAAAAAUAAAAUAAUUAGUUUACUAUAUUUUUUAAUAUUUUUAUCUUAUAGUUUCAAAAACACACUUAACUAUCAUCUAUUUACUACCAGUGAUUCAAAAAUUUACAUUUGAAUUUUCUAUAAUUUUAUUUUAUUUUACUAUAAAUAGGAUAUUAUCUCAUGAUUCUUACAAAAUCUCGCCUUACUAUUGCAUUUGAGAUUAAUUUUAUUAGUGAAAUAAAAACUUUUUGAAUUAUCGGUAACAAAAAAAAAAUUAUAGAAGAAAAAAAUAAAAUUCACCUUUUAAAAUAUUAUUAUUAUUCUAACAUGUAAUUAUUAUAGUGGGGUCCACGCGCUUCCGCCUCCCACUUCCACACGCAAGAAGCCAUCAUCUAAUCCAAUAAUUCAAAAAAAAAAUAAUAAUAAUAAAACAAUUGCUUACAUACUUUUGAAAAAUUUUUAAUUUUCCAACUUAUAUUUUUUAGAAGGUUAAUAUUAAAAAUACUAUUUCUACGUUUCAACCUAUUUCUAAUAUACUUCUAAAGUUAAAAUUUAUUAAUUAACUCUGUUAACUCUGUAAAAUUACUAUUUUGCCCUUUCAAAUAUACCCUUCCACUAUUACUGACUUUCUUAUUUGCCCUUAAUGUCAGGGGCACAAAAAAUAUUUUGACUUUUGGUCUUUUCCAAUAUACCCUUUUACCGUCACCAAUAUUUUUUAUUUAUCCUUAAGUUAAGGAUAAAAUUGACAUUUUAAUUUUUUUUUUAAACUGUAGUAGAUAUUUAACUCACGUUUAACCUAAAUUAACUUAACAGAAGAUAACUGCGGGGGUAUUUUACAAUAACGGUAGAACAUAUGAAGGGUAUUUUAGAAAGAAAAAAAAAAGUAGGAGUAAAUCAGAUAUUUUCAAAUGUACGAGAGGUAUAUAGAUAAUUAUCCCAAAAAAAAACCUCUUUGCGACCUAUUUCUUAAAUUUUUUUUAAUUAUUUUUUAAUUAUUGUUGAAUAUAAAUUAGUUUUAUGUUUCCUUUUAUAUACUCAUAUCAGGACAAAAAUUUUAUAAAUUCAAAUUUUCAACAUCUUUAUGAUUUUUUAUAUAUUCAAACCUUUUGAUUAAAGUCCACAUCUACAUAGUGGCUAUUUUGUUUUCUAUGUGAAUCUCAACAUCUUAAUUGGUGGCUCUUAAGAUGCAUUUGGUGAUGUAUACGUAUACAGCAAUUAAUGGUCACAUCGAGAUGACUGAUAAAGCAAUUAAUGGUCUAAGAUUUACAUCUAAUUUUGAUCAUAUCAUGAGUGCAAGUCGCAAAGAGUCUGAUGAUUGAUAUCUGAAAUUCUAAGUUUGAAUCUAAUUGCUUCACAUUUUUGCUAAAAAAAAAACUUUACCUCAUUUACGCAGACACCGGAAUUUUUAAUUUUGGUAAAAAAAAAUUUUUCUUAAUCUUUAUCAAAUAGUUCGACGGACCCUUCUUUUCAAUUAAAGAUAUAUAUUAAAUACACAAUCCUCUCGUAUAAAGCUUCACAACACACACACAAAAUAUAUAUAUUUGGUAUUCUAACUUGAAAAAAAAGAAAAAAAAAUUAAAGUUCGGUUCAACUUAUUCUUCAAUCACCGUGUUUAAUUAUUAUUAAAAUUAGAAGAGAAAAAGAAAUAAGUUUCUUUAUACUUUUAAGUUUUGCAUAAUUAUGUGUACGGCAUCAGAUCAAAACAUUUAUGCAAUUAGUAAUUAGUUUACUUGAAAAGAGAAGACUAUUUAACUAUUUGACAAAGUUUGAAGGGUCUGUUUGCCAAAAUUGAAAGUUCAAAGGUGCCUGUUUGUAAAUGAGCUAAAGUUUGGGAGAUCUCCAUACAAUUUUUCUUAAAAAAAAGUUAAAAUACACUAAUUAUGAGUCUAUACCAUGCUUGCUUAAAUAUUUUAGAAAUAAUUACCUAUAUAUCCCUCAAAACUUUAGAAAUAUUUUAUUUAUUCCUACUUUUUUUUUUUUCUUUUUAAUAUAUCUCUCAUGUGUUCCUCCGUUAUUCCAAAAUAUUUCUACAGUUACCACCAGUUAAGUUAACUUGGAUUAAACGUCAGUUGAGUAUCGACUAGAGUUAAAAAAAAUCAAAAUGCCUCUUUUACCCUUAACUUAAGUAGACCUGGCAAACGGGCGGAUUGGGUAACCCGCGGGCGGGUUAUUGUACCCAUAGUUUACUUGGGCAUGGAUAAAAUUUACCCGCAAAUUUUUGGAUAGCCAACAUUUUUACCCAUACCCGCACGCGGGUGGGCGGGUGGGUUUGCGGGUUACCCACAAUAUUUUUUUAUUUUUUGCUCUUAUAUUUUUUAAAUGGAAUAUAUAUAUAUAUAUAUAUAUAUAUUUAAAAGCGUAAUAUAACUCAUUAUUUAAAAUAUUAUAACAUACAAUAAAAAUAUUUAAAGUCUUAAAACAAAAUUAUUUCAUAAUAUAAAAGACAUGCAAUAAGGAAUUAGGAUUAAGAUUUUAGAAUGGAUAAAUAAAAAAAAUAUAUUAAUUAAGAAAAUAUAUUUUGUAAUUAAAAAUAUAUGUGCGGAUAUCCGUGGGUACCCGCAGGUUACCCAAAAUGCCCACAGUAUAAUGGGUAUCCACCCGUUUUACGCGUAAUUUUUUGGAUUGAAAAAGUUGGUACCCAUACCAGCAAAUUUGUGGGUAAUGCGCAGGUACCCGCAGGUUUGGGCCGAGAUUGUCAGGUCUAAACUUAAGGACAAAUAAGAAAUAUUGGUGAUGAUAGAAAGAUAUAUUUAAAAAAAUCAAAAAUCAAAAUAUUUUUUUUACCCUUAACUUAAGGAUAAAUAAGAAAAGUCUAUGAUGGUAGAAGGGUAUAUUUGAAAGGGCAAAAUAGUAAUUUCGUGCCGAUAACAGCUAUUGCUAACAGUUUAUUAACGGAAUUUAACUCUAGGGACAUAUUUGAAAUAGUUGGAAUGUAAAAAAGAUAUUUUCAAUAUUAGGCUUCGUUUGGGAUUGCGGGGAGAUUGCGUUACGUGCGGUGAGAAAGUAUGUUAGAAAAAUCCCCCGUUUGUUUUCGUACUUAAUAUUGCGUUCCGUAUAUCACGAUGAGUCGGUUACAAUAUAUUUUCUGCGGUCCCACCGGAGAACGCAGAAGCAUAUCCCUAUAUGCUUUUUCCAUAACUCCAUUUUAUCUAAUAGCAUUAGAUAGGCUUCAAUAUCAAACUAAGCAUUGUCUUCUAAAAGGGGUAAUCAGAAAGUCGGAAACUUUUCAGAGGUAUAUAAGCAAUUGCCCUAAUAUUUUAAUUCGAUAAAUUUCAUCAGAUAUGUCACAUACUUUAAUACAUAUA
rnacentral:lncRNA from 1 species